AGGUUUUACACACUAGCAAACACAGAGCACACAUGGAAUUUGAUGCCAUGAAAACUUGCUACAGCUUUUUUUAUUUGGAAUACAGAGAGAAAGAAGGGUCGUUACACGACCGACCUAAACACACACCACGUACCUAAUGACUCGUGCCAUCCCACGGAUCAGAUUGUGCGUGCAUGAUCUAUGGCUCCACUAUUAUCACGUGUGAUCCGAUGUGCCAUGCCAUCCCAUGACUCAGUUCGCGACACGGUAGAAACGGGACCGACCCCAACCUGACACAUGGACUCGACGCAAACAUGCUUGUCGUCGAGACCGACUCUCACUGCACACCACGUGCUUGCAUGCAGCUCUAUGGUGCGUUAUUUAGAACAAACAGAUUGAAGGAGAAAAACUCUAGGGCAUGGAUCGGCCCUCGAUCCACAAAAACCAACAUCGCGAAGUUGUCUAAGUGGAUCUCGUCAUUCUCCGAGUCAAUCUCCUCGUUGUCUGAGUCAGAGAGGCAACCCAACACUUUUACAAAUUCCGAGGCGCCGCAGUGAAGGUAGACGACAAUGCAUGUGUUUUACAAAUUCACCAUGUGAAAUGAAUGCAUGUAAUUCAAUGCUAUCAAUGUGUGUUAUGUAAAUUAAAGGUUUAUGUUGCAAUUUGGAUAUUUGAAUUCGUGUAAAAUAUGAUACACAAAAUAAUCUAUUUAAUGCAUACUUUUUGUAUUGAUAUAUGAAAUUAAAUGUGCAAACGCUACCACGGCAACAAAUACACUGUCGUGCCAUUUCUUUUUUCCCAAAACAAAGUAUUAGUGGCGCACGAAAAUACAAGCACAUCACCAAUGGCCCAAAAUACUAGCGCUAUGCCAUUAGUAUUCUACAAUACUGUCGUGUGAAAGGCCCAGGCAUGACACUUGUAUGUCCCUUACUAGUGCGUGCAGGUAGACAAGCCACUAGUAAGUUACUCGCUCGUCGCUAAUAAUCACUUACCAACGACACUAUACUAGUGGUGUGCCAGCCGAACGCCGCUAGUAGGCACAUGCACAAGCUGCUAAUAAGGGUGUCAUGUAAGUUGGCGGUGGGAGCAACGAUGCUCAUGGGCGAAGCUCUUAGCUAAGGUGCAAGAUGGUGGCAAUGGCCACGCAGGAGGCGGGGUGACUGGGGUACGGCGUUCAGUGGCGGUGAUGUGGCAGGUGUCUUCACGACUAGUUGUACUAUGUUGCAGAGGCUGCCGCCCCUUCGACAAGGCGCCACCUUGGAGUACAUAUCUCAUCAUGUGCGGCUUCAUCUCUUCGGAGUGACUUGUUCAUGGUUGAGGGCUCUAGUGACAUCAAGAAAUCUGCUCUCUAUCCGAUGAGCCAUUUUCUUGGAGUUUUCCUAUUUUUUGAAAAGGAGAAUAACCCCCGACCUCUGCAUCGAACGUUGCACUCAUCCAUCUUUAUUAAAUUAUUCAACAGAGACUGACACAAUAAAUACAAGGAUCAAUCCGAAGCCACCUUUCCGAUAAACUCUGUCGCUACACCUAUAAACUUGAUGAUGAACCCUGACCGCACCGAAGCACAUUAUCUAAUCCGGUGGCCUCAUGAAGUCGCCGCCUGCGAGCCGAGAGCACCAACCGGCCUAGCAGACCCACAACGCACACCGCAUGCAUGCACUCUAGGAUCCCGCGCUGCCAUCUACCACCGUCCCAUCUUUAAGAGGGAUCCUUGCAUUGACCUUGCCAGGCCCAACUGCCGCCGCCGCCGCCGCGACGCCAGAAAAUACCACCAGCCUGCGCGCAUCCAUCAACCCACCUCCAACGCCGAUACUCCAUCGCGCCAUGCCGCUGAGACCCACCGUUUUUGAUGUGGUAGAUGCAACACCGCUCCACCUCUUGGCCCCUCCAGUCAGUACCUACUCCAAAACAGUGCCCACAGGAGAGAGAAUGACACAAGUUUUCGUCAUCAUCCGACCAGGGAGACCCAGACCUAAGGUUUCUCCCGGAGCAGAUGCCCCCUGGAGGAAGAAGGGCACGCCAUCUGCAGUUGCCAACGAACCCAAAUGGUGCCCACCCACAACGAGUCAUUUUCUUGGAGUUGUGUUGUUGUUCUUCAGCAUCCUUGUAUAAUGCCUUGUGUGUGUGUUGCGGUAUCAUGUUGUAUUGUGUUGUAUGUGCUGAAUUGUAUGAUUUAUAUAAAGUGGAGCGGAAGUCUUUUUGAUAAACAAUAAGAUCAAUUGCCUCAUUUGAAACUUGAAAGCGCAUUUUUUUAUUUUGGCAACGGAAGUUAGGGCCAAGGCCGACCUUAUGCGCAGGAAAAGGGACAAGCACACAGACAUCCCAUAUGUACCCAAGCUUUUUUGUUCUUUUGGUUGCUUGUUGAUUGCUUGCACUUAAUCCUACGAGAUUAUCAGCUGAUUAAUAUUUUUGCUUGAAUAAUGCAUUAUCAUCUGAUUUCUUGCUUAGAUCGGUCUGCUCUCUAUUUUCAAACAGUUUUGGUCUGGGCCUAUUUUGUUCAAUUGGAUAAUUCCGGUGCACAAAUUUAUCGAAUCGAAAUGAAUGAGUUUAUUUUCUUUUGUUUCCCUUUUUCUAGGAACCUAUUUGUUGGCAUUCGAUAGGAAAUAUGUUUUUACAAACCUAACCGGAUAUACCAAAUGCNNNNNNNNNNNNNNNNNNNNNNNNNNNNNNNNNNNNNNNNNNNNNNNNNNNNNNNNNNNNNNNNNNNNNNNNNNNNNNNNNNNNNNNNNNNNNNNNNNNNNNNNNNNNNNNNNNNNNNNNNNNNNNNNNNNNNNNNNNNNNNNNNNNNNNNNNNNNNNNNNNNNNNNNNNNNNNNNNNNNNNNNNNNNNNNNNNNNNNNNNNNNNNNNNNNNNNNNNNNNNNNNNNNNNNNNNNNNNNNNNNNNNNNNNNNNNNNNNNNNNNGGUCUGGCCGAGGGCCAUCGUCGUACAUAGGUCACACGCUUGUACCAUAACCUGAGUCACCAUAGUUCAUCCGGGUCAACAUAUCGGCCAUUGUGUUGAUUCCCAAAUUCGCGCACACCAUGCUGCAUAAUUGGUUCACCGCGGUUGACCUCCUUGCCAUUGGAGAUCGUUGCAUGCGGCGCACCUUUCUUCGGACUGUCCGACAUCUUCACACGGCCAAGAGCACGUGGGAUACUAAAUGUUUGUCAGCGACCCAAGAUUACCCCCGCAGUUAGCUGGACACAUCAGAGGUUUUACACACUAGCAAACAUAGAGCACACAUGGAAUUUGAUGCCAUGAAAGCUUGCUACAACCUUUUUAUUUGGAAUACAGAGAGAAAGAAGGGUCGUUGCACGACCGACCUAAACACGCACCACGUUCCUAAUGACUCGUGCCAUCCCACAGAUCAGAUCGUGCGUGCAUGAUCUAGGGCUCCACUAUUAUUACGUGUGAUCCGAUGUGCCAUGCCAUCCCAUGACUCGGUUCACGACGCGGUAGAAACGGGAGCGACCCCAACCUGACACAUGGACUCGACACAAACAUGCUUGCCGUCGAGACCGACUCUCAGCACACACGGCGUGCUCGCAGGCAGCUCUGUGGCGCGUUAUUUGAAACAAACAGAUUGAAGAAAGAAAAACGAAGGCAUGCACCAAGUUUACUACAAUGGAUCAGCCCUCGAUCCACAAACCCACAUGGCGAAGUUGUCUUAGUGGAUCUCGUCGUUCUCCGAGUCGAUCUCGUCGUCGUCUGAGUCAGAGAGGUGGUUGUCCACCUGCUCGUGCCCUAGCCUGCCAUGCCAUCAACCACAAACACCACAUCCAGAUUCCGUUACAUUCAAUCAUCACCCAGGCGGAAAAAACUGAAAACCUUGGAAAAAUUGAAAGGAGAUCGAGUUCAUACCCUCCUCAUCUGGGCACGGCGGUACUUGAACCAGAGUUUGAUAUGCCGGGGCUCGACACGAAGCUCGCGACUGAGAUGAGUGCGCUGGGCCUCAUCGGGGUUGGGGCACUCCAUGAAAAUACUGCAGUUAAAAGAAGAAGAAGAAAACCUUGAAUACCCUGUACAUGGAUCACCAUGAAAAUAUGACACGAAAAAUAAGCUAUAGGAAUGGUGCUUUAUCAACCACUCGAGGAUCUGAAUCUGGUUGGUACUUAGAUCCAUUGUUACCAAUUUCUCGCUCACUCUCCCAGGCUGGCUAGAGGAAGAGGAAUUGGAGGCAGGAAGGUAUCUUCGUACUGGAUGCGGUGCGACCUCUGCCUUCACUAGUAGAAAAGAGGGCUUUGGUACAGGCCGAGUCAGCCCAUUAGUCCCGGUUCAGUCCAGAACCGGGACCCAUGGGGGCACUGGUCCCGGUUCGUGAGGCCAGGGGCCUGCCGGGCCUCGUGGGGGCAUUGGUCCCGGUUUGUCUGGCCCCUUUGGUCCCGGUUGGUGGGACGAACCGAGACCAAUGGGCCUCGCUCCUGGCCCACCACCAUUGGUCCCGGUUGGUGGCUUGAACCAGGACCACAGGCUGCCCUUUAGUCCUGGUUCAUGCCACGAACCGGGACCAAUGAGGUGCCUAUAUAUACCCCUCGCCCGCGAGCAGAGCACUCCAGUGCUCUGUUUUUCUCUGGCCGGCGAGGGGAGGGCUUUGUGGUGCUCUAGCUCACCUCCUAUCCACAUGAGGUGUUCGAUGAAAUGCCCGAGCCACACUAGUUAAGCUUUUUCCUCUCGAAGCUCUGAUGAACCGGCAAUGGAUGUACGGUGACAGACACACCUCCGAGUACAUUAAGGGCGUGCAUGAUUUUCUCGAAGUGGCUGAGGAACAAGCAGAAUGGUUUUAUGUGUUGUCCAUGCCCUAAAUGUGGGAAUACGAAGUCUUACUCUGACCGGAAAAUCCUUCACACCCACCUGCUUUACAAGGGUUUCAUGCCACACUAUAAUGUUUGGACGAGGCACGGAGAAAUAGGGUUUAUGAUGGAAGACGGCGAAGAAGAAGAGGACGAUGACAACUAUGUGCCCCCUGAAUACGGUGAUACUGCAACGGGGGAAGCUGCUAAAGAUCAAGAGGAACCAGACGAUGUGCCCAAUGAUGCUGCAACGGGGGAUGCUGCUGAAGAUCAAGAGGAACCAGACGAUGUGCCCGAUGAUGAUGAUCUCCGCCGGGUCAUUGUCGAUGCAAGGACGCAAUGCGAAAGUCAAAAGGAGAAGCUGAAGUUCGAUCGCAUGUUAGAGGAUCACAAAAAAGGGUUGUACCCCAAUUGCGAAGAUGGCAACACAAAGCUCGGCACCGUACUGGAAUUGCUGCAGUGGAAGGCAGAGAAUGCUGUGCCUGACAAAGGAUUUGAGAAGCUACUGAAAAUAUUGAAGAAGAAGCUUCCAAAGGAUAACGAAUUGCCCGACAGUACAUACGCAACAAAGAAGGUCGUAUGCCCUCUAGGAUUGGAGAUGCAGAAGAUACAUGCAUGCCCUAAUGACUGCAUCCUCUACCGCGGUGCGUACAAGGAUCUGAACGCAUGCCCGGUAUGCGGUGCAUUGCGGUAUAAGAUCAGACGAGAUGACCCUGGUGAUGUUGACGGCGAGCCCCCCAGGAAGAGGGUUCCUGCGAAGGUGAUGUGGUAUGCUCCUAUAAUACCACGGUUGAAACGUCUGUUCAGAAACGAAGAGCAUGCCAAGUUGAUGCGAUGGCAUAGUGAGGACCGUAAGAAAGACGGGAAGUUGAGAGCACCCGCUGACGAGUCGCAGUGGAGAAAAAUUGAGAGAAAGUACUGGGCUGUGUUUGCAGGUGACCCAAGGAAUGUAUGGUUUGGUUUAAGCGCGGAUGGCAUUAAUCCUUUCGGGGAGCAGAGCAGCAAUCACAGCACCUGGCCCGUGACUCUAUGUAUGUAUAACCUUCCUCCUUGGAUGUGCAUGAAGCGGAAGUUCAUUAUGAUGCCAGUUCUCAUCCAAGGCCCUAAGCAACCCGGCAAUGACAUUGAUGUGUACCUAAGGCCAUUAGUUGAAGAACUUUUACAGCUGUGGAAUGGAAACGAUGUACGUACGUGGGAUGAGCACAAACAGGAGGAAUUUAACCUGUACGCGUUGCUGUUUGUAACCAUCAACGAUUGGCCCGCUCUCAGUAACCUUUCAGGACAGACAAACAAGGGAUACCACGCAUGCACACACUGUUUAGAUGACACUGAAAGUAUAUACCUGGACAAAUGCAGGAAGAAUGUGUACCUGGGCGAUUUCUUCCGACCAACCAUCAAUGACGAAAGAAAGGCAAGCAUUUCAAAGGCGAGGCAGAUCACCGGAAGAAGCCCUCCAUGCGUACCGGUGAUCACGUACUUGCUAUGGUCAAUGAUUUACACGUAAUCUUCGGAAAGGGUCCCGGCGGACUAGCUGUUCCGAAUGACGCCGAGGGACACGCACCCAUGUGGAAGAAGAAAUCUAUAUUUUGGGACCUACCCUACUGGAAAGACCUAGAGGUCCGCUCUGCAAUCGACGUGAUGCACGUGACGAAGAACCUUUGCGUGAACCUGCUAGGCUUCUUGGGCGUGUAUGGGAAGACAAAAGAUACACCGGAGGCACGGGAGGACCUGCAACGUUUGCACGAAAAAGACGGCAUGCCUCCGAAGCAGUAUGAAGGGCCUGCCAGCUACGCUCUUACAAAGAAGAGAAAGAAAUAUUCUUUGAAUGCCUGCUCAGUAUGAAGGUCUCGACUGGCUUCUCGUCGAAUAUAAAGGGAAUAAUAAAUAUGCCAGAGAAAAAGUUCCAGAACCUAAAGUCUCAUGACUGCCACGUGAUUAUGACGCAACUGCUUCCGGUUACAUUGAGGGGGCUUCUACCGAAAAACGUCCGAUUAGCCAUUGUGAAGCUAUGUGCAUUCCUCAAUGCAAUCUCUCAGAAGGUGAUCGAUCCAGAAAUCAUACCAAGGCUAAGGAGUGAUGUGGCGCAAUGUCUUGUCAGUUUCGAGCUGGUGUUCCCACCAUCCUUCUUCAAUAUCAUGACGCACGUCCUAGUUCAUCUAGUCGACGAGAUUGUCAUUCUGGGGCCCGUAUUUCUACACAAUAUGUUCCCCUUUGAGAGGUUCAUGGGAGUCCUAAAGAAAUAUGUCCGUAACCGCGCUGGGCCAGAAGGAAGCAUCUCCAUGGGCCAUCAAACAGAGUAUGUCAUUGGGUUUUGUGUUGACUUCAUUAGAUAGGUCUCCCUAAAUCGCGGUAUGAGGGGAGACUGACUGGAAAAGGCACGCUAGGAGCGGACUCAAUAAUAUGCAGGGACGGGCAUUUUUGGUCUCAAGCACACUACACAGUUCUACAGAACUCUACCUUUCUGACCCCGUAUGUCGAUGAACACAAGAACAGUCUGCGCUCCAAACACCCGGAGCAGUGCGACGACUGGAUUACAAGUGAACACAUCAGGACUCCCAGCAGUUGGUUGGAAACACGUCUCAGAGGUGACAACACUAUUUGUGAUGAGCUGUACUCGUUGUCCAGGGGACCAUCUUUGACUGUAUUGACUUACAAAGGAUACGAGAUAAAUGGGAAUACAUUUUACACGAUCGCCCAAGAUCAAAAGAGCUCCAACCAAUACAGCGGUGUCCGCUUUGAUGCAGCAACCGAGAGGGGAAAGGACACAUAUUAUGGUUACAUAGUGGACAUAUGGGAACUUGAGUACGGACAUGAUUUUAAGGUCCCUUUGUUUAAGUGCAAAUGGGUCAAUCUGUCAGGAGGCGGGGUACAGGUAGACCCACAGUACGGAAUGACAACAGUGGAUCUGAAAAAUCUUGGGUACACUGACGAACCGUUCGUCCUAGCCAAUGAUGUGGCACAGGUUAUCUAUGUGAAGGACAUGUCUACCAAACCGAGAAAAAGAAAAGAUAAGGAAGAGAAUACGUCAUACGAUGAGCCAAAGAGCCACAUAGUUCUUUCAGGAAAAAGGGACAUCGUGGGAGUGGAGGGCAAGACAGACAUGCCUGAAGAUUUUGAAAAGUUUCAUGAAAUUCCUCCCUUCAAAGUCAAGGCUGACCCAAGCAUCCUGAUAAACAAUGAAGAUUAUCCAUGGUUACGGCGCAAUAAACAAAAUAAACUUUUAUAAAUAAGUAGAAACAAAAUAAAAUAAAUAAGUAGAAACAAAAUAAAAUAAAUAAAAUAAACUUCUAUAAAAUAAAUAUGUAGAAACAAAAUAAAAUAAAAUAAAAUAAAACAAAAUAAAUAAACCUUAAUAAAAUAAAUAAAAUAGCAAUAGUAAGUAUUUUGUUGUAAGUAGAAACAAAAUAAAAAAAUAAAGCAACAAAGAAAACAAAAAAACUGGAAAAAAAUAAAAAAAUGCCACCUCCUGGGCCACCACGGCAUGAAUACGACUAGAAACCCAGCUAGUUGGGCCAGGAUUCAGGCCCGCAGAAGGCCCAGCAGGCCCACAGGCAAAGCAGUGUCAAAUUAGGCCCAUAGGCCUGCAGUUCAGAGGAGUUCAAGAGAGAGGAGGCAGCAGUGCUUAUAAACAGGUAGUCGACGCUCUCAACUAGCAAGGUGAGACAAAACUCCCACCACCACGCCGCUGUGCAAGGCCAUUGGUCCCGGUUGGUGGCACGAACCGGGACCAAAGGCCACCAACCGGGACCAAUGCCCCCCGUUUAGUCCCGGUUGGUGCCACCAACCGGGACCAAAGGCGCCGCUUCCCGCCCUUUGGGCUGCUGAAAAGAGGCCUUUGGUCCUGGUUGGUGGCACCAANNNNNNNNNNNNNNNNNNNNNNNNNNNNNNNNNNNNNNNNNNNNNNNNNNNNNNNNNNNNNNNNNNNNNNNNNNNNNNNNNNNNNNNNNNNNNNNNNNNNNNNNNNNNNNNNNNNNNNNNNNNNNNNNNNNNNNNNNNNNNNNNNNNNNNNNNNNNNNNNNNNNNNNNNNNNNNNNNNNNNNNNNNNNNNNNNNNNNNNNNNNNNNNNNNNNNNNNNNNNNNNNNNNNNNNNNNNNNNNNNNNNNNNNNNNNNNNNNNNNNNNNNNNNNNNNNNNNNNNNNNNNNNNNNNNNNNNNNNNNNNNNNNNNNNNNNNNNNNNNNNNNNNNNNNNNNNNNNNNNNNNNNNNNNNNNNNNNNNNNNNNNNNNNNNNNNNNNNNNNNNNNNNNNNNNNNNNNNNNNNNNNNNNNGACCACGCCGCCGUCGCCGCCAUCUACACCGACGUCGGCGCCGUGCCUCUGCCCCUGCCCCGACCACGCCGCACCUCUCCUUGGUCAGGCCGGCGCCGCCUCCCCUGUCCUCUCCUCUGUUUUUCACAUAUUUAUGAUGUUUUUUUCCAGAUUAUAUGUAUAUGUGUGAGUAAUGUAUGUGUGUAUAUCUGAUUAUAUGUCCUUUUUUUAGAUUUUUUGUUCAUAUAUAUGAUGAUUUGUUUUUUGCAUUUUUAUAAAAAUGUAUAUAUGUAUGUAUGUUCUCUGUGCUUAUAAAAGUUAGAUUUUUAGUACAUUUGGGUACGUUUUAGGUUAGUUUUAUCUAUAUAUGUUCUUCGAUUUAGUACAUUUUAGGUUAGUUUCAUUUUUAGAAAAGUUUUAUAUAUUUAGGAAAAGAAGGAAGAGAAGGAAGAAGGAGGAAGAAGAAAAAGUUUUAUAUAUGCAAAAGUUACAUUUUUAGAAAAGUAUUAUAUAUCUAGCUAGGAAGAUAAUGAAGAAGAAGAAAAAGAAGGAGAGGAAAAAGGAAAAUAAGAAGAAGAAAAAAGAAGAAAAAGAAGAGGAGGAGAAGAAAGGAAUAGAGGAGAAGAAGAGAAAAUAGAAUAUUUCCUUUCUUCUUAUCCUCUUUUUUUUCUUCUUUUUUUCUUCAAUCUACUCCUCUAUUAAUAUCUUCUUCUCCUUUUUUAUUUCUUCUUCGUCUUCUUAUUUUUUAUCGGAUAUGUCGUUGUCGAUAUACCCCGUGUCCCGAUAACUUCAACACGAGGGGGGGGGGGCGUGUUCGACCUACCCCCUCCUCGAUAACAUUAUUUUCCCAUGUAUGUAUGUCGUCGUUGUCGAUAUAACCCCCUCCCGGAUAACUUCGACCGUGAUAACUUAUACCAUGGGAGCACCCCCCGGCCCUCUCGCUCGACCAAAACUCUCGAGGACACCCAAAACCUAGAAAAAACGAUGUUGGUCUCCUACCCCCUCCCGCUGCGCCCCUACCCUUGAAGCAUUGCCGAGGCCACCCCAAACCCGGAAUAAGCUAGGUCUACGUUUGCACUAAUAUAUCCACCUGCUGUCAUGUUUGUGUAAUAAUUGCCAUGUUGUAAUAUUUGCAGAAACAAUGGAGCACGGACGAGACGAGGCAGCAGAAGAGGUGUUGGGGGACAUAAUCUUAGCCGGAGGUGAUGUCUUGUCGUAUCUUAACGACAAUGAUGGUCUGGAAGAACAGGGUGAAGAAGCAGGCUACGGUGAUCGAAGAGUGGAGGAGGAAAGACAUGAUUAUGAUGGCUCCGGUGACCCAAUGCUGGUGCAAGAAGGAGCCCGUGGUGACGGCUCCGGUGACCGAACAGAGUCCGGCCAGGUAAAUAUGUUAGUUAAGCCUGUGCUGACUAGCUAAUUGAUGCAUUCAUUGUUUUGGUAUGUACACAUAUUAAUUAACUCUCGUCUUUCUUCUUUUUAGUAGCCCUCCGGAUCGAGCGCAACUUCGGUAAAGAGACGAGGCCCGAAGAAAAAGUUGCGCUCAGAUGAAAGGUUUGAGAUCACAACAAUCGCGCGCGACGGCCAACCAAUUGAACCCAUCCAGACAAAGGAAGCAUUUGCUGCUCAGUGCGGGGUUCUUGUUAGGGACAAGAUCCCGAUCAGCAUCCACCAAUGGUAUAAGCCUAAGAAGGAAGACCCUGAGGUGUCUUAUGUCAAUGAUAUGCAGAAAGAUGAUCUUUGGACUGAGCUGAAGGCAAAUUUCACCCUACCGCCAGAGGAGGAUCCGGAGAAGCCAGUUAAAGAGCAAUUAAUCAUGUCUCGUGCUCUUAAGAAGAUGGCAGACCUAUUCAGGAGGUGGAAGAAUGAGCUGAAAACGUUUGUCGACAAAGAAGAGACACCAGAAUUCAUCGGCAAAUAUGAGAAGAUCAGAGAUCACAGGCCCGCAUUUGUGGCCCACAAGACAUCGGAAAAGAGUAAGAAGAUGUCAGCGACAAACAAGAAAAAUGCUGCGAAGAAGAAGCUUCACCAUCGCAUGGGGUCAGGUGGCUACCUCAAAGCCCGGCCUAAGUGGGCCAAGGCUGAGAAUGAUCUGCUUGAUAAAGGGAUCGAACCAGAGACAAUGAACUGGCCAGACCGUUGCCGGACUUGGUUCUUCGGGGCUGGCGGAACCUUGGACCCUGUAUCAGGGAAGUGCGUUUGGACGGAUGAGCAAAUGAGAAUACCAGUCAAGAGGCUUCAGCACUAUAUUGAUGCAGCGUAGCAAGGGACGUUCGUUCCAGACAGAGAGAACGACGAGCUCACAAUGGCCCUCGGGAAUCCUGAGCACCCUGGACGGGCACGAGGCACGCCAGGCUCCGUUCCGUGGAAGGCUGGUUUUCCGGACGCAGGCGGUUACAAAUGCUAGGAGAGGAGGAAAAAAAAUGGAGCAGACCCAAAUUCAGAAGCUGCACGAAAGGGUUCAAGCGCUAGAGGAACGAGAUGUAGCUCGCAGCAAGCAACCUGCCGAAACUACCCCCGAAGCUACCCCGCCAUCUCAGCGGAGAAGCAGCGUGGCUUCCACUGAGCUGCUUCAGCCGAAGCAUGUCUUGAAGGCUCCUGCUAGCUACCCCGUGGAUGCUAUCACGGAAUCUCAACAUUGCCACCUUAUGACGCAAUGGCAGAACUUCAAAGUCAAGGCGGCUGUCGGCUCUGUUCGACCUCCUGAACCCGGCGCAACUUUUCACUAUCGUCCGAUUCCAAAAGGAUAUGCCAGGGUGACGGUGGACGAAAUAACGGAGGGAUUUGAGGACCUCCAGCUUGACCACCCUACCGGUGAAGGGGAGACUCGACUGGGUUCUGCUCUGAAGACUCCAUGCCUAUGGCGGAAGGAGCUCAUCAACCUUCCGAACUGGACGCCUCCGCCUCCUCCUCCUCCUCCGGCGAGUAAGGGCACUCCGCCUCCUCCUCCGCCUCCUCCUCCGGCGAGUGAUCAGGGCACUCAGCCUCCUUCUCCGGCGCGUGGCGGCACUCCGCCUCCUUCUCCGCCUGCGCCGGCGCGCCCGAGCAGCCAGCCUCCUCCUUCUCCGCCUCGUCAGCAAGGGCGGAAGAGACCCACCGCCGCUCCGGCUGCUCCGGCGCGUCGUAGUCCUUCUCCUCCGCCUCGUAAGCAAGGAAAGAAGAUAGCCGCAGCCGCUCCGUCUGCUCUGCCGGCGUCUAGCAGUACAGCCAGAGGUGGGAGGCAAUACAGAUUCGGUCCUUCUCUGAAGACUCCAGAGAAGUUACCAUACGAGAGGACCCCGGAGGAGAACGCGAAGAUCGUGCGAGCCGAAGUGAAGAACUUCUUUGAAGGGGUGAAAGCAAAGAAACAUCCACCUCCGGAGGAGAAGGUAGAUCCGGUGAAAGCGAAGCGCACUCUGGCUGCCCUGACAAAACAACCAAAGUCUCAGCCGAAAGGCAACUAUGAGCGCAUUAUUGCAAAGACAUUUGUCGAAGCGGAGCGGUCGGGAAGUACUGUCAGUGAUCAAAGGUUAAAAGAACGACGAGCUAGGAAAAAAAAUUGCCUAGCUCGGCGAACAAGCGAACCAAUCGUGCCCCCCGCUCAAGGUGUCUAGCGACAUCGUCGCUAAUGAUCCGAGGAUGGUGCCCGGUUAUAGCAAUCUUGGAGAUUACCUGCCCGACGAUGUACAUUAUGAUUUCUCGGAGGUGGAGGAACACAGAUACGAGUACGGGAAGCCUCUCGUCAAAGAUGAAACAUCUCUAACAACGAUGAUGCGAAGAUUCCAUGAUUGGUACAUGAAAACCUGUAGAGAGUCUGGGGGGAGGAAUACUUUGACGCUGAGAGUUGAAGAGGAGCAUGACCUCGUUGGAAUUGAACUGUUGAAUGUUCCAUUUGAGGAGUUCUUCCAGUUUUUCAAUCAAAAGGCCCUCGAUAAAUCAACAGUCACUUGCUACUGUCUGUAAGUAGUACUACUUCUGUCAUUAAGUCUCUCUAUAUAGGUCAGCUCUUUCAUUGCAUGUAUUUAUAAUUAUCCUCACUAUAUUAUGCAGAUUGAAGAUUGCCGAAUUGAAGAAAAGACAAAUCAGUGAUAUUGGGUUCAUUAACACAAAUCUCAUAGAUGCAACUGAGGUUAAAUAUCAUGCCGAAAAUACCGAGGCCAACUUGCUACGAUCGUUUGUAAUAAAUGAAAACAAAGAUAUAAUACUCUUUCCUUACAACUUCAAGUGAGUGUUACUGUCUUGUGCAUAUUCGGUUUCCCUUAUUAGUCCAGGUUAUAAUAAUGUAAUUGAUGACUUAUGCAUGCGUGCACAACUUCCACUAUAUUCUCCUAGAGAUUAAGCUUGAGCAGGGAGUAGUAACUGUCUUAGACUCGAGACGAAAAGAUCCCCAGGACUAUGAGGACAUGAAUCAAAUGCUCGAGAAGUAAGUUAAAUCGAUCAUUAUCCACCAUAUCAGCAACUUUGUUCAUUUCCUGACAUCAAGUAAUUGUUUUCUUUGAAUGGCAGGGUUUGGAGAAAAUUCACCAAAAAAGCUCCGGGACUGCCGAAGAAGCUGCAAUUAGACACCCGAAAGUAAGUACUAUAGUAGCAUGUUCCGCACAUCUCCUAGUGAUUCAAGCGCUAGUUUCAUCAAUACCAUUUAGCAUGCUUGCUUAUCAGUUUGAUUGACCUCUAUUUCUUGUAAAGUGGUUGUGGCAGGAACAAGGGAAUGAUUUCUGUGGAUACUAUGUUUGCGAGUCCAUCCGCCACACGACCUGUGAGCGGGACUACUCUGACGAAUAAUAUGAAGUUCGUAAGCAAUAAUAUUCAUAAUUUUAUUUUAUUACCAUCAUUUGUGUUGAGUUUCAUUUAUUCAUAUAUAUAUAUAUAUAUAUAUAUAUAUAUAUAUAUAUAUAUAUAUAUAUAUGUAUUGACCCCCUUCUUCAAAUUAGAUCUUUCGGAUGCGGGAUGAACUCCUACCACCAGAUCGUAUGCGAGCAAUUCAAGAGGAAUUGGCGGCAUUCUUCCUUGACCACGUGAUCGCUGAAAACGGAGAAUACUAUGUGGACCCUGUGUUCAUAUGUAAUUAGGAGAUUAUAUUGUAAGAGAUAAUUAUUGUAUAUAUGUAGCCGGUAGUGUCGGAUAGAUAUACGAGAACUUGUUGUUCGACCAAUCUCUCGGAGAAGGAGAGGUGGUCGAUAUCACUUCUCUCUGUAUGCAUAUGUUCAUGACGAUCUUCUGUUUCCUUCAUUUGAUUACUAGCUAGCGUGUCUAGUCCUCUCUAUACGUAUAUAGUACGUAGCGUCGACCAAGCACGGAGAUAAGAGAGCUCUCUAUUAAUUUGCUAGCUAACACAAUAUAUGAAACACCUAAAUUAACCCCCCAAAACCCCCAACCCCCCCUCCCUUUCAAAAAAACGAAAACCGCAGCCCCUGAAAUGCUGACACGUGGAUGCCUAUUGGUGCCGGUUAGUGCCACCAACCGGGACCAAAGGCCCUCCUGCCUGGGCUCGCCGCACCGGUCACGUGGAGGCCCAUCUAUCCCGAUUCGUGUAAGAACAGGGACUAAAGGGCUAGGGCAUUAGUAACGACCCUUUAGUCCCGGUUCAACAACCGGGACAAAAGGCCCUUACCAACCGGGACAGAUGACCCUUUUUCUACUAGUGCUUGCUCCUAUUUAUACACGAGAGGGUGGUGUUUCUCCUCUGUCACACUGCUGGCGCCAAGAAGCGCCCGUCUGUGUGACCUCUGGCUUAUUAGCAGUUUCCUGGACAGUCUCUCUUAAUGCCUCCUCCUUUUUGGCUUCUUUCACCCUAUAUUGCUGACCGUCCGUCCCUGUGUUGCUCGGGAGCCAGCGGCAGAAACGUUCGCUUUGAGUUUUGAACACCUCGGCUCUCUCGCCAACAGUAGAAACGUCCGUCUAGGUUUCUUUCUAUGCCUCUUCUCUCUUGGCUUCGUCCCUGGCUUGCUGGGAGCGCCAGCAGUAGCGUGGUUGUACUGGUAACUGAUGCAAUAAUUUACUUUCUUUGGUCCUUUUUAGUUUUCAUAUAAGUUUUGUCCGAAAUCAAAGUAUCCAUACUUUGAUCAAACUUAUAGAAAAAUGUAUCAACAUUCACAAUGCCGAAUCAAUAUUGUUAGAUUCAUUAUGAGAUGCAGUUUUAUAGUAUAUAUAUUUGGUAUUGUAAAUGUUGAUAUUUUUUAAUAUAAUUUUGGUCAAACUUUGCAAAGUUUGACACAAAUCUAAUACGCAGAGUAAAAAGAAUUAGAGGGAGUAAGAAGGUUAUCAAUAAAUUCAUUUUAUCGGAAGUAUUAUUGGGUUCAUUGACCUGCGAUGUAAGAAGAAGUGCAUUCUAAUUUAAACCAUAUAAUGUAUAGUUUUAUCUAGCGGAAUUCGCAAAGCACUUCAAACAAUAAUUUAUGGACCUUUUUCUGUACGGGCCCUAUACUGGGUUUGUAUGAAACAAACAAAUGGAACUACACAAAUGCAGAGUGACCUGAAAAUGUCCGGUGACCUGUCUUGAGUUCUUAAUUUCUCCCCUUCCCACAAUUACUAACAUUGUUCCUCUUGUAGAAAGGGAGAUAAUUAAUCCUAAAGGUACGGCCAUGUAUGGCUUGUUAACCAUUAUAAUCAACUAGCAAAGUGGCCUGCUCGAUGCCGUGCUAGAAUUUCUUAAAGUAUAAUAAUGAGACCAUAUUAUUUGAUUUUUGCAAAAAAAAAAACUGGAACCAAAUGUAAUGAUAUUUAUAAUAUAAGACUUUCUAUUCAUAUAAUUUUUUCUUAUGUAUGUUUGAUUUUUUAAAUCUUAUCCAUUUAUCAUUUACCUUCUCAUUUUCUAUGCCGGCCUAACUGUAUUUUUUAUGAUCAGUGGUUUUGUGCAAUUUAUAUUUGCAUCAUUAUUCUGCAGUUUUAUCAUGUUGCAUUGUACUAUUUUUCUUUGAACACAAAUUAAGUAGUCCUUAUUGUUUGUGUAGGCAUAUGUAUAUUUGGUAACGCUGGUCAAGAUUGACAUGUUAUUUUUUGUUUUAGUAAUUUUUACUGUAAGUGUUUUUUAAAUUAGCUAUAUGAAGUGAGUGUGCCUUUAUAUACGAUAUAUAUCUAUUAAAACUGUCAUGUUAGGUGUAUGUUCGCAUGUCAUUUGUUAGUUAAUUUAAGACACAUGCACUAAGGAUGACCAACGUAGGCUUAAAUUUUCCAGUAAGAAAGUUUGGUAUAUCAUUUUGCACUUUUAGAAGAAAAUGUGUACAAACUACUAUGUACUGAAUGACAGUGGUUUCAUUGAUCCUUCAGCGGGGAUCAUCUUAAAUUAACCAUUCUUCGAAAGGUAUCUCAUAAAUUAGAAACACAUGGAAGAAAACCACUUUCUUGAAUUACUAUCUGGUAAACUGUUGACAACCUGGAAAGCACAACUAAUGAAGCAAAAUGCAUAUUUGUUUUUUAUUGUUGGCACCCUCUGUCAUAAAUCUUCAUAUGUGAAAGUCUAUGUUGAUAUUUUGUGAGCAUGCAGUAUCCCUGAUAGUGUUCAGAGAAAUAAUGGUACUUCAAGUCAUGGAGGGGGACUCAAGAAGAUUACAGGCAUCAAGUAAUAAAAGAAGCAAAAGUAGAUUAACGACAUUUUCCCGUCAUGCACAGUAAUGUUGUUUAUAAUAACUCAAAUGAUAGAAUGGCAAAGAAUUUCAAUUGUAUGUAGAACUGCAGAGAUAUUUUUAAAAAUACUCUCAUAAUUUAUAUCAUAUAGGAAGAUUAACAUGACAUAAGAAUUUUAACUCUUACAUGUUUUAAAUCACUGUUUUUUUGUCUUGUUUCAAAAAAUCAAAUUAAUAUCAAGUAGAAUCCCAAAUACGCCCUGUUGUGGUCCACAUCAAUUUUGGUCCUUAUUAUGAGGACACAAUCCCAACUAACUGAUAAUGCAUGACACUUAUUUUUUUGUGAUUUCGUAAGGAUACACUACUAGGUAAAAGCUUAUACACAAAAUCUUACCAGCAACGUGGUUUAAAACAAGGCGCUGCUGCUACUUAGCAGUAGCGCGUGGAAACAAACCGCGCUAUUGCUAGCCGCGUAGCAGUAGCGCGCUAGGUGAAAACAGCGCUACUACUACAGUUGCCACGACAUAGCCGCCAAACUAGGUAUAGUAGUAGCGCCGGUUUUGGAAACGCGCUACUGACAAUGAACUUAGCAGCAGCCCUUUUCUCCCACCAUCGCUACUGCUAAGUUUAGUCUCUAAUUAAGUUUAGUCCCACCUCGCUCCGCGAAUAGGGUGUUUACCACCUUAAAUACGUUACUUAUCAAACCAUCACAACCACUUGGUCUUCAUUGAACUCUAUGUGUAGGAUCUGUAUUCCGCAGUAGGAAUCUUCCCCGGUUGACAAUUUAGAUUCUACACGAAAAGAUCAUUGAUGACCAAUGUAUUUUUAUUUUUUACAUGCUUAGCCUAAGCAGUAGCGCGUUUUUGCUUGAAGAGCGCUACUGCUAUGUUGUUUAGCAGUAGCGCUUUAUCUCAAAGCGCGCUACUGCUAAACGCCAUCCUAUCUUCCCCAACCGGCUGCCCACACACUCUCUCUCCACUCUCACUCUCCCGCGCACCCCCCGUCGUCCGCCGCCGCUCCCGUUCCCCGACCACCGUCGUCGCCCGCCGCCGACCCUCCUGCUCCUCCUCCACUGAGGUAGUGCCUCCUUCCCUCCUCCCUCAUCCUCCUCUCUCCUCCCUCCUCCCUACGGCGCCCCUCCCUCAUCCUCCUCUCUCCUCCCUCCUCCCUACCGCGCCCUCCCUCCUCCUCCAGCCGCCCCUCCUCCCUCCNNNNNNNNNNCUUCUCCCUCCUCCCUCCCAACUAUUUAAAAUUUUAUUACCGUUCUUAGUUGAAUUAGUAAGUGCUUAGUUGAGUUAGUAAGAAAAUUUAUUAUUUUUAUUUAUAGUGAGUUCUUAGUUGAACUAGUUGAAUUAAUAGAACUAGUUUAUUUUUAUUAAGAAAAUUUAGGUAUAUGAGAUUUGAUGAUCUAAUUAAAAUUUUACUAUAGAACUAGUUUAUUUUUAGUAAGUGCUUAGUUGAAUUAGUUGAAUUAAUAGAACUAGUUGAAUUUAUGUCAUUUUCACUUCGUCAUCAAAGAAUGCUAUAUGAGAUUUGAUGAUCUAAUUAAAAUUUUACUCGGUGGAAUAUGCAGGCUUUGUAGAGUCGUGUCUCCAUAGAGUGAUCGUCAUCCGAGCUACCUCUACUUCCUCUACACCCGAGUUGGUGAGCUAAAAGUCCACCUCCUCCUUCUCCACUCCUCGGUGUUGAAUAGAGUAGAACUAGGGUAUUUAGUUAUGCUUCUUAACCAAAUGAAAUGUUCGAAUUAUAAGAUAUAUUGAAAUGUUUUUGUCAAUAUUGAACCACUGAAAUGCAAUGAGCACCCGUUUAUGCUCAUGUGCGAAGUGUUGAUUCAUUUCCGAGUGACCUAUGUUUUGCCGGAGUGUUGAUUCAUUUCCGUUCCGGCAAAUUUCAGGCUCUCGAUAUGUCCUAUUUUAGCGAAGGUCAUGCCGGAUUUUUCCGUGAAUUUAAGCAUGACUUGUUCUAGAAUGUAGGAAAUAUCGAGUGCCCCGGUGUAAGUGCAUCUAGUGCCACCCCUAGUUGGUUUUGGAGUAUUGACGACGUACCUGGUUGAGGGACUAAUGUGUUUGUGAGAAUUGCAGGAUAACACAGGUAGUAGUCCCUCAUUGAUUCGGUUUACCUACCGGAGAUGACCCCUAAAAAUGUGUGAAGACAUUGAAGACAAUGGUGGUAAUUGAAGAUAUUCACAUUGAAGACUAUGACAUGAGAAGACAUCGCAUGAAGACAUUCGUAGUUUCAUUUUCUUCUUUAUUGAGUCAUAGGAACCACCGUACUGUUAAGUGGGGGUCCAAGUGAACAAAGUCAGAGUGACUGAAGUGAUGCUCAACCAAAUCCUAUGUCUUCAAGCAAAGACAAUGAGAGCAAAUCUUAUCCAGAGGCGGAUGAGUCAGCUUUACUUGUAGCCCAAGUCAAGCUGCCGCGUGUGUUUGAAAUCUGACUGUUGGAACACGUGUCAGUUCCUUAGUGACCUAGGGUCAUUUCGGAAAAAUCAGGCCGGGUUGCCUAGUGGCUAUAAAUAGCCCACCCGUACACCAUAAAUUGGUGGCUGCUCAGAGUUAGUGCACGGCUUUUGUCGUUUGAGAGCAACCCACCUCCAAAGCUUUUGAGAGAGAGAGAAAUCCUUGCGAGGACAAAGCCCAAAACACCCAGAGCCAAAGAGUGUUAGGCAUCACUGAAGUCUUUCUGUCCGCGUGACCUGAAGACUUGUUACACUUGAGGACUGUGAAUCCUCCAGCCGGUUAGGCGUCGCCUUCUGAGCAUCCAAGAGUCAUUGUGGAUUGCCGGUGAACGAAGUCUGUGAAGGUUUGGAAGUCUACCUUGAAGACUUACCAGAGUGAUUGGGCGAGGACUGGGUGUCCUUAGCUCAAGGGGAAUAAGGUGAAGACGCGGUCUUCUGAGUUGAAUCUCAGCCUCCCUAACCAGACGUACAGUUGUCACAGCAACAGGAACUGGUCCAACAAAUCCUUGUCCUCACCAAGCGACUGGUUCUAUUUUCUCCCUCUCUUUACUUACAGUUUGUCUUCGUGAAGUCAUUGCCUGCUUGCAUUAUCUGUUUGACUUCAUUGCAUGACUACCAUUGUUGUUUGGCUUCAUAGUAUAUUCCAUCCUGAUCAUCACUACCUAGUUGCUACUAGUCUUCAUGCUUUCACUUAAUUGAAUACUUGACUAUUGCUUGCCUAGUGUAGUCUACCUUCCGCUGCAUGUCAAUAGGUUCAUUUCUAUUGUUUGUCUUUGAAACUCCCAUGUUUUGAAGACUUUCAUAAAAAUCGCCUAUUCAACCCCCCUCUAGUCGAUAACUAGCACUUUCAAUUAGUAUCAGAGCAAGGUAGUCCCUUGUUCUGUGUGAUUCGGUUUAACCACUUGGAGUUUUAGCUAUGUCGACUGCAGGGAUAAUCAAAUCUCCGCUGCGUGCCCUAUCUUCGAUGGCACUGAUUACCCCUACUGGAAGAAUAAGAUGCACAUGCAUCUUGAAGCCAUUGAUGUCGAUCUAUGGUAUGUCGUCAAGAACGGCGUUCCCAAGACCGGUGAAGGCGUCACCCCUGCUGAUGUAAAGAAGUUCAUUCAACUGGAUUCUACCGCCAAGAACAUCAUCUGUGGUCAUCUGACCAUAGGACAGUAUGGCCGUGUGAGUGCUCUAGAAACGUCGAAGCUAGUCUGGGACUGGCUCUCCAAGGUCAACGAAGGCGUCUCAACCCAGAGAGUUCAAAGGAUCAGUGUUCUUCGCAACCUCUUCAACCGCUUCAAGAGAAACGACAAUGAGAAUGUCCAGCUCACGUUUGAUCGCCUCACUGACAUCACAAAUGAGCUUCAUGCUCUUGGUGCCACUGAGAUCACGAAGCAUGAAAUCGACACUCCUGAGAUCACUUGACAGCUCGUUUGACACCCUAGCCCUGAUGAUUCAAGAACGCCCUGACUUCAAGACACUCGAUCCAUCUGACAUACUUGAGAGGUUCAACACACACGAGUCUCAGCUAUCUGAGAAAAGAGACAUCUAUGGUCCUAACUAUGGUCGAACUCGCGCUUUGAAGGCUAAGGCUGUUUCCUCAUCUGAAGAAGAAUCUGACUGCAGUUCUGGUGAUCCUGAAGACAUUGGAAAGGCGCUUGCUAUGCUUGUGAAGAAGUUCCAGAAGUUCACCAAGAAGAAAGGCUUCAGAAAGUCUUCACGAUCCAGCUCAAGAAAUGAUGAAGCUUCCACUCAUGACCACAAGAAGAGAACAUGCCACAAGUGCAAGAAACCUGGUCACUACAUCUCUGAGUGUCCACAAUGGGACAAUGAAAACAACAAGAAGAAAAAGAGCAAGGAAUAUGAUUCUGAUGACAAAAAGAAGAAGAAAUCCUCAAAGUCUUCUUCCAAAUCUUCAUCGAAGUCUUCAUCACACAAGAAGAGCUCAUCUGGCAAGGCUCGUGCUUUUGUUGGCAGGGAGAUGGAUUCAGAGGAGGAUUCUGCUUCUGAGGAAGCGGAGGUGGAGUCUGAGGAGGAGUCCGACUCUGUCGUUGCAAGUCUGGUUCUAGCUACAGCCUAUGUUGCCAAGUCCAUCUUCAACACUGAAGACAAUGGCUCCGUCACCAACGCUGAUACUAAUGACAAGGACGACUCCGCUCCCACCUACUGCUUCAUGGCAUGCAGUGCCAAGGUAAACUCACGCGAUACUUACUUUCAAACAUCUAGUGAAGAUGACUCUGAUUGUGAAUCCAAACCCAGCUACAAAACACUUGCUAAAAUUGCAACUGAACAACAGAAAGCUAUGGAACAUAUUCAAAAACUGUUAGACAAAAGCGAUGACCUGUUGGACGCGGAGACCCGAUCUCAGUCCUUAAUUGAAGACAUAAAAAAUCUUCAUGUUAAGUACGAGGAACUUGAAAGUUGUCAUGAAACGCUCUCAACAACUCAUGAAAAGCUUUCCUACAAUUAUCUUCAAAGGAAGCAAGAACUUGAGAAAUUGAGAGCGGCUCAUGAAGAUUUUCAAAAAGAGAAUGAGUCACUUCGCGCUCAACAGAUCAGUCCCGCUCAGGAAGGAUUUGAACCACCACGUUUAAAAUGCCUUGAGCGUGAUAACGCUACUUCUGUUGCUGAAUGUUCUACUGCUGCUACUGGUGCAAUAUCUUCAACGGUUGAUGUGGUAACUAACCCCUCUACCGAGGAUGCCACUACUAUUGCUGAUGAAAAUGCUAGGUGGAAGACAUUGCUUGAGACAGGGAUGUUCAAAAGUCUCAAAGGGCAUCAGACACUGUGCGAUGUCCUCAAGAAGCAGAUUCUGAACCGAAACCCUAGAAAAGAGGGUGUUGGGUUCGAGAGGAAAAUGAAUGUUGAUGGUUCUUACUGGAAGCCUGAGCAGUACCCCAAAACCACAUGGGUUGCUGCAAAGGGACCUUCAGUGGAUCCAUCCACCUUAUCUGGCUUCACUUGUGCUAACCCAAUUAUCAUUGAUGAAUCCUUUGAUGCAAACUAUAAACUGUUUAAGAAUCAGAAUGGUGAAGUGUUUGCCAGGUAUAUUGGUACUAACUGCAGGAAUGGGCCACCUAUGAAGAAGAUCUGGGUACCCAAAAGCUGUCUUGAGAAUCUUCCUGUGAAUGUCGUCAUGACAACACAAGGGAGAAGACAAACCCCAGACCAAAGGCUUCAUAUGGUCCAAAGGCUUCGUACAGACACAGGACUCACCCGAGUCACCCUAACGCCAAUGUUUUGCAGGGAAAUCAUACUCAGAUGUAUGAAUAUGAGCGUGUUUCUUCAAACCGCUAUGUUCAUAAGACCAAGAACUUUUCUGCUUAUUCAUAUGAGUAUUAUUCUCCUCCUGCAAGGCUAUUUGCUAGGGCUCCAAAGCCGAAGUUCUCAGAUGCUGCACUUAGACUCAUUGCUUCGAAGCCACCCUCAAAAUGUGGGUGGUUAAGAAAACUUAACUCUCUUUUGCAGGGAAAGGUCUCCAGCUGAAAAUCAAAGGCGUCAGAUGCUUUUGCUGGGGACCUAAAACAUCUUGUGGGACGCAAGAUAAAAUGCCCAAAUGGUCUUACUAUGCAUUUUGUUCCUGAAUCGCUUGCCAAUCAUCCUAUCAGUCCUAACCUUGAUCUGAGCUUUGAUAAUCCUCUUGUCCGUCAAAUGUUUAUGCUUCAUAAUACUCUUGGUGAAGCCUAUCCCCCUAACUGUACUAUAGGGUAUGACACCACAUGCUUCAGCAUGGAUUAUGGACAGCGGAUGCACUAAUCAUAUGACUGGUGAUCGAAGUCUUAUCAUGGACUCAACCUUACAUCCAUCUGACAAGAGCCAUAUCACAUUUGCUGACACUGGUAAAAGCAAGGUAUUGGGUCUAGGUAGAGUUGCAAUCUCAAAGGAUCAGCACUUGGAUAAAGUGAUGCUUGUUGAAUCCCUUGGUUUCAACUUAAUGUCUGUCUCAAUGCUUUGUGACUUGAACAUGAUUGUGAUAUUUGGAUAGUAUCGUUGCCUUGUACUAAUGGAAUCUGACAAGUCUCUAGUCUUUGAAGGGUAUCGAAAAGAUGAUUUGUACAUGGUAGAUUUCUCAGCAGGACCACAGCUUGUCGUAUGUCUUCUAGCAAAAGCUUCAGAGUGCUGGCUCUGGCAUCGGAGGCUAGGGCAUGCUGGCAUGAGGAACUUACACACUCUCGCAAAGAAGAAGCACGUCAUAGGCAUCGAGGGCGUCAAGUUCAAGAAAGAUCAUCUGUGCGGUGCCUGUGAAGCUGGAAAGAUGAUGAGAGCCAAGCAUCCCUCGAAGACAAUCAUGACGACAUAUCAACCCUUUGAGUUGCUACACAUGGACUUAUUUGGUCCUACUCACUACUCUACUCUCAUUACUACUGCUUGUCUCUAUGGCUUCGUCAUUGUUGAUGAUUAUUCAAGAUACACUUGGGUGCACAUAACUCUCUACAAGACUGAACAAAAAUAUAUUCGGAAUUUGAAAAACAAAAUUGCAGAAAAGUGAAGAUAUAAGGAAGAAGAAAGAGAAAGGAAAAAAGAAGCAAAAAAAAAAAGAAUAGAAACAAGACGGCCUAACGCGUGAACCGGUUUUUUGUUUCUUUUACUGGUUUUUCUGUUUUCUUUUAUUUUUAUUUAUUUAUUUUUCUUUUAUUCUUUUUUGUCGAUUUCUGUUUAGUUUUUUCUUUUGCCCUUUUCAAGGUUAUUUUAUCUUUUUAAACUAAGUUCAUGUUCGAAAUUUUUUCUUAAAUUUAGAAAAUGUUAUUGACUUUAAAAAAUGUUCGAAAUUCAAAAAAUGAUCGUGAUUUUCAAAGAAUGUUAUUGUUUUGAGAAAAUGUAGCCAAUGCAUUUGUUCAAUUUUUCUAAAUAUACGGGUGUUAAAAAAAUGUUCGUGAUUUUCAUAAAAUGUUCAUGCUUUCAAAAAAUGUUUUGUUUCAAAUUUUAGAAAAACGUUCUUCUUUUAAAAUUUUGUUCAGGUUUUCAAUAAAAUGUUCAUCCUUCAAAAAAUCUACAGGAAAUUUGAAAAAAUUAUUUUUUCCAAAAUCUGUUCACAUUUUCAAAAAAUGUCAUUUAUAAAAUUGGUUCACAAUUUCAAAAAAUAUUCUCGUUUUCAAAACUUUCACGGUUCUAGAAAUUUGGCUAUGCUUCAAACACUGUUCAGGAAUUUCAAAAAAUAUUCUUGUUUUCAAAAUUUGUUCCCAAUUUCAGAAAAAUAUUCAUUUUUAAAAAAUGCUUGCGAUUUCAACAUUUUUGGGAUUAUUAUAUGCUGAACUAUUAUGGUAUGAACAAAUAAAGGAAAAAAAUUAGAUUGUAUAGGUGUAUUAAUUAUUAAAAACUUGAAAGCAUGGAAGAUUCAUAAUAUAAGGGUCAAUUGUAAUGUAUUCGAUUAUAUAAUUUUAUAGUAGUAACUCAUAUUUUAGUUGAUUGCCGCCUUUGAUCACUUGGGUUUAGCUAUAGUUACCUCAUCCUAACCCAUGUCGUCUCUAGAUCAUUGUACCAACUUGUGCUUUUUAGAAUAUUUUUCUGCAAAAUAGAAGUGCUGCUUUUCCAAAACAUUUGAUAUCUUAUUUGCAUUUUUCUAAGUUCAUAUGAAUUUGCAAUGAUUUUUUCAAAGUAAUGUUCAAAUGCUCAAAGGGCAUUCGGGAGACCUAAAAUGCUUUUUAGAGGCAAAACUGAGCAGAGUCGAAAACUAUGGGCAAAACUAAAGGGUUGGAACCAACUAAGGGCAAGAAAGGAAUUGUCCCGCCAAUGGUUUUCUAAAUAUUGAUCUGGUCGGACAUUAAACCAAGAUCGGGUAUCCAUAUUUAAGGGGCGUUAUUGACAUGGGAUUUUUUUGCUUGCAGCUUUAUUAUCCAAUCUCACAUGCUUGUCUUAAAAUUACGAAACCUUAAACAAAUAUAUCUAAGUUAUUAAUUAUGUAAGUAGUGUAAUUUUAUCAGGUGUAGGGAAAAAUUAGUUCCAAAUCAGAGCUCAUAGAUUAAGCAAAAAUUGGGUAUGCCAUGCUAAUACAAUAAUUGAAAUGAUGCACGAAAAAAAUACACGCAUGGAUAUUAGUUUAAAUAAAUACAAAAGUGCUAUUUCCAUGCAAUAAAUACAUGCUACUACAAAUGCAUAGUGAGACCGUGGGCCGUGAUUUUCUUUACAAGGACAAAUACAAUAUGGAUUUUACAAUCAUAUGGAUCUCACAAUAACAAAUAUUAGUUAUCAUACAGGAUAAGUAUAAUAAAUUACUCAUUGUAAACAAUGAAAAAAACAAAAAGAUAAUAUCCAAAACAUCUUAUAAUGAAAUGUACCUAAGGGUUAGAUGACAACUCCUCUUAUGAGAUGUUGUGUUUGGAGAUCAAUCAUACACUAUACGAACACAAAUGCAUGUUUAGUGAUUGUUUAAUGCACAUGAAAGGUAAGUUUGUAGAACUAUAUACAUAACCUAUGCGUCAAUUUAUAGUAUUAGCCAACAGAAUGAAGUCAUGCAUUUCCAUUUAUAUUCUUAUUGAUAUCUACAUGACAAUAACUGUCUCACGUGAAAACCACAGGGCCAUACAAUGCAUCCUUGGUUGACUAUGAUGGUAACGGAUAAUAGAUACUACAAUUAUUGCGGAAGUUUUGUAUAUCCCAUAACGGAAGAUCCGACACCUCAUAACAUCCCAUCCAUCUCAUUCACGGGCCAGAUGACGUCACUGGUUGAUAUCGACGCCCCUAUGGCAAUUAUCGCUGCCUGAACAUGCAAGUGCCUUCUUCCAUGUAUGAUUUCAUUGUUAGAAUCUCUAACCUUGACGAGGCGUACAUUUUCGUAGUUGAACACCUCGUGCACUCUCCAAGCCAUGCUGAACAACCAACUAAAGGAUGUUGCAGCGGGUACUAUCAACAGAAACUGAUGCAUAACAUUCUGUUGCCAACAUACCUGACUAGGGUGGAAGUGUGUAUGGUAUUUCCUAGUUGCAAAGAGGUGGACCCUAAUGAACAACCUCAAGGUGCAGAUGAGGGAACACACUAUACGCUCAUAGAGUGCCCGAGUUGGACCCUUAUGUGGACUAAGGGACAAACACAUUGGGGGACGCACUCCCCACAGCUAGCAAACACACUCACCGCUGACACUCUCUACGAAUGUCCCUACACUGGGACCAUCUACUUUGGGUCCGUGUCGAGUUGAAGGUCCUUAGGACAUAGUGGUGGCUAAUGAUGAGGGCGCUGACAAAGAUGAGCCGCCGCCCGACACACUAUGAGCAUGGGGAGGAGGAUGUUAAUAUGUACUUUAACAAUGAAUAUGAUAAUGGCAUGACUUUUGCGGUCAACCAUAAUGUUGCUGAGAGUUUGCUUAAUAUGCCGCUAGUGGACGACACUCAGAAUGAUCAAUGUCCCUUAAAGCGAAUGUCAUGACUUUGAUCACAAUGAAUGGGUCAAUUUGAGACACUAUGGUAGCCCCCAGUUAUUGUUGUACCCAGAAGUGGGAGGAAGAAGAGACGGAAAAAGUUUGAUUACACAGGGCACGGGCAUUGCUGGCAGACAGAAACUGGUUUGAAAGAAGAUUGAGGAUCAUCCUUCUAUGUUUCGAGGGGCUCAUUUUCCGAUGAACCCAUGGUACCCAGUAAUAUACACGAUAUCAUGUUAUUCGACAUGAGGUUUCUUCAUGAUGACAAUCUCAAGAAAGGGAGGGUGGACAAGGUCACGUUUCUUAGCCAACCUAAAAAUUGCUCGAUUUACAUGGUGAAGGAUCCAUCCGGUGUCGGCUUCCUUUAAGAUUUGCCCGCAGACUAAUUCUAUAUUGAUUUCGGGUAACCGUACGUUUUGUGUAGUAUCUACUUAUGUUUUAAAGAUGCAUGAUGAAAAUGACCUACUAUGUUUACUUCAUUAACCUCAGUAGUCAUUCGACAUAUCGAAACAUGACAAUUCUGGCAUGGCAACAACAUGAGAGCUUCGGCUCAUAAAUGCUAGCAUGGCAGUAAAAAGAUUAACUAAAAAUGCAACCAUGCUAGCUUAUAUUAGCCCCAAGGCUGGAAAAUUUUACCAUGACAACUAAAUGAGCAAUUUGACUCAUACAUGCUGCCAUGGUAGAGAAAUGAUCCCGUUUAACAGUAAUUGACCCCAUGGUAGACAAUAUGAGGCCAAAGGCACAAAAGUUUUUCCAUGACAACUAAAAGAGCCAUUUAGCCUAGAAUCGUUGCGAUGGUAGCUAAAUGAGCCAUUUCGCUCAUAUUUGCUACCAUGGAGUUAAAUGAGCCAUUUGGCUCAGAAUUGCUGCCAUGUCAGCAAAAAAUGAACGCAAAACUACCAUCACAGCAAAUAUGAGCCCCAAGGUUAAAAAUUUCUGCCAGGCCUAGGUUUGCUAUGUGCUAAUCUUGCUAUUUGUUGCCAUGUGCUAUGUUUGGUAUCUAAAUUGCUAUAAAAGACAUUUUUGCUAUGUGUACAUGUAGAAAUAUAUUUGAUUUGAUGUAUGCUGACAUUUGUUCUCUUCAUUACGACACGUCAAAGAUUCGUCGACCGAAACUUCAACAGUUCUGAGGCGCCGCAGUGAAGCUAGACGACAAUGCAUGUGUUUUAGAAAUUCACCAUGUGAAAUGAAUGCAUGUAAUUCAAUGCUAUCAAUGUGUGUUAUGUAAAUUAAAGGUGUAUGCUGCAAUUUGGAUAUUUGAAUUCGUGUAAAAUGUGAUACAUAAAAUUAUCUAUUUAAUACAUACUUUUUCUAUUGAUACAUGAAUUAAAUGUGCAAAUGCUACCAUGGCAACAGAUACAUUGUCAUGUCAUUUCUUUUUGCCCAAAACAAAGUACUAGUGGCGCGCGAAAAUACAAGCACAUCACCAAUGCCCCAAAAUACUAGCGCUAUGCCAUUAGUAUUCUACAAUACUGUCGUGUGAAAGGCCCAGGCCUGACACUUGUAUGUCCCUUACUAGUGUCGUGCAGGUAGACAAGCCACUAGUAAGUUACUCGCUCGUCGCUAGUAAUCACUUACCAACGACACUAUACUAGUGGUGUGCCAGCCGAACGCUGCUAGUAGGCACAUGCACAAGAUGCUAAUAAGGGUGUCAUGUAAGUUGGCGGUGGGAGCAACGAUGCUCAUGGGCGAAGCUCUUAGAUAAGGUGCAGGAUAGUGGCAAUGGCCACGCAGGAGGCGGGGUGACUGGGGUAUGGCGUUCAGUGGCGGUGAUGUGGCAGGUGUCUUCACGACUAGUUGUACUAUGUUGCAGAGGCUGCCCCCCCCUUCGACAAGGCGCCACCUUGGAGUACAUAGCUCAUCAUGUGCGGCUUCAUCUCUUCGGAGUGACUUGUUCAUGGUUGAGGGCUCUAGUGACAUCAAGAAAUAUGCUCUCUAUCCGAUGAGCCAUUUUCUUGGAGUUUUCCUAUUUUUUUGAAAAGGAGAAUAACCCCCGACCUCUCCAUCGAACGUUGCACUCAUCCAUCUUUAUUAAAUUAUUCAACAGAGACUGACACAAAAAAAUACAAGGAUCAAUCCGAAGCCACCUUUCCGAUAAACUCUGUCGCUACACCUAUAAGCUUGAUGAUGAACCCUGACCGCACCAAAGCACAUCAUCUAAUCCGGUGGCCUCAUGAAGUCGCCGCCUGCGAGUCGAGAGCACCAACCAGCCUAGCAGACCCACAACGCACACCGCAUGCAUGCGCUCUAGGAUCCCGUGCUGCCAUCUACCGCCGUCCCAUCUUCAAGAGGGAUCCUUGCAUUGACCUUGCGAGGCCCAACUACCGUCGCCGCCGCCGCGACGCCAGAAAAUACCACCAGCCUGCGCGCAUCCAUCAACCAACCUCCAACGCCGAUACUCCGUCGUGCCAUGCCGCUGAGACCCACCGUUUUUGAUGCGGUACAUGCAACACCGCUCCACCUCUUGGCCCCUCCAGUCAGUACCUACUCCAAAACAGUGCCCACAGGAGAGAGAAUGACACAAGUUUUCAUCAUCAUCCAACCAGGGAGACCCAGAACUAAGGUUUCUCCCGGAGCAGAUGCCUCCCGGGGGAAGAAGGGCACGCCAUAUGCAGUUGCCAACGAACCCAAAUGGUGCCCACCCACAACGAGUCAUUUUCUUGGAGUUGUGUUGUUGUUCUUCAGCAUCCUUGGAGUGAUUGUAAAAUGUAUCAACAUUCACAAUGCCAAAUCAAUAUUGUUAGAUUCAUUAUGAGAUGCAGUUUUAUAGUAUAUAUAUUUGGUAUUGUAAAUGUUGAUAUUUUUUAAUAUAAUUUUGGUCAAACUUUGCAAAGUUUGACACAAAUCUAAUACACAGAGUAAAAAGAAUUAGAGGGAGUAAGAAGGUUAUCAAUAAAUUCAUUUUGUCGGAAGUAUUAUUGGGUUUAUUGACCUGCGAUGUAAGAAGAAGUGCAUUCUAAUUUAAACCAUAUAAUGUAUAGUUUUAUCUAGCGGAAUUCGCAAAGCACUUCAAACAAUAAUUUAUGGACCUUCUUCUGUACGGGCCCUAUACUGGGUUUGUAUGAAACAAACAAAUGGAGCUACACAAAUGCAGAGUGACCUGAAAAUGUCCGGUGACCUGUCUUGAGUUCUUAAUUUCUCCCCUUCCCACAAUUACUAACAUUGUUCCUCUUGUAGAAAGGGAGAUAAUUAAUCCUAAAGGUACGGCCAUGUAUGGCUUGUUAACCAUUAUAAUCAACUAGCAAAGUGGCCUGCUCAAUGCGCGUGCUAGAAUUUCUUAAAGUAUAAUAAUGAGACCAUAUUAUUUGAUUUUUGCAAAAAAAAAACUGGAACCAAAUGUAAUGAUAUUUAUAAUAUAAGACUUUUUACUCAUAUAAUUUUUUCUUAUGUAUGUUUGAUUUUUUAAAUCUUAUCCAUUUAUCAUUUACCUUCUCAUUUUCUAUGCCGGCCUAACUGUAUUUUUUAUGAUCAGUGGUUUUGUGCAAUUUAUAUUUGCAUCAUUAUUCUGCAGUUUUAUCAUGUUGCAUUGUACUAUUUUUCUUUGAACACAAAUUAAGUAGUCCUUAUUGUUUGUGUAGGCAUAUGUAUAUUUGGUAACGCUGGUCAAGAUUGACAUGUUAUUUUUUGUUUUAGUAAUUUUUACUGUAAGUGUUUUUUUAAAUUAGCUAUAUGAAGUGAGUGUGCCUUUAUAUACGAUAUAUAUUUAUUAAAACUGUCAUGUUAGGUGUAUGUUCGCAUGAUCAUUUGUUAGUUAAUUUAAGACACAUGCACUAAGGAUGACCAACGUAGGCUUAAAUUUUCCAGUAAGAAAGUUUGGUAUAUCAUUUUGCACUUUUAGAAGAAAAUGUGUAGAAACUACUAUGUACUGAAUGACAGUGCUUUCAUUGAUCCUUUAGCGGGGAUCAUCUUAAAUUAACCAUUCUUCGAAAGGUAUCUCAUAAAUUAGAAACACAUGGAAGAAAACCACUUUCUUGAAUUACUAUCUGGUAAACUGUUGACAACCUGGAAAGCACAACUAAUGAAGCAAAAUGCAUAUUUGUUUUUUAUUGUUGGCACCCUCUGUCAUAAAUCUUCAUAUGUGAAAGUCUAUGUUGAUAUUUUGUGAGCACGCAGUAUCCCUGAUAGUGUUCAGAGAAAUAAUGGUACUUCAAGUCAUGGAGGGGGACUCAAGAAGAUUACAGGCAUCAAGUAAUAAAAGAAGCAAAAGUAGAUUAACGACAUUUUCCCAUCAUGCACAGUAAUGUUGUUUAUAAUAACUUAAAUGAUAGAAUGGCAAAGAAUUUCAAUUGUAUGUAGAACUGCAGAGAUAUUUUUAAAAAUACUCUCAUAAUUUAUAUUAUAUAGGAAGAUUAAUAUGACAUAAGAAUUUUAACUCUUACAUGUUUUAAAUCACUGUUUUUUUGUCUUGAUUCAAAAAAUCAAAUUAAUAUCAAGUAGAAUCCCAAAUACGCCCUGUUGUGGUCCACAUCAAUUUUGGUCCUUAUUAUGAGGACACAAUCCCAACUAACUGAUAAUGCAUGACACUUAUUUUUUGUGAUUUCGUAAGGAUACACUACUAGGUAAAAGCUUAUACACAAAAUCUUACCAGCAACAUGGUUUAAAACAAGGCGCUACUGCUACUUAGCAGUAGCGCGCGGAAACAAACCGCGCUAUUGCUAGCCGCGUAGCAGUAGCGCGCUAGGUCAAAACAGCGCUACUACUACAGUUGCCACGACGUAGCCGCCAAACUAGGUAUAGUAGUAGUGCCGGUUUUGGAAACGCGCUACUGACAAUGAACUUAGCAGCAACCCUUUUCUCCCACCAUCGCUACUGCUAAGUUUAGUCUCUAAUUAAGUUUAGCCCCACCUCGCUCCGCGAAUAGGGUGUUUACCACCUUAAAUACGUUACUUAUCAAACCAUCACAACCACUUGGUCUUCAUUGAACUCUAUGUGUAGGAUCUAUAUUCUGCAGUAGGAAUCUUCCCCGGUUGACAAUUUAGAUUCUACACAAAAAGAUCAUUGAUGACCAAUGUAUUUUUGUUUUUUACAUGCUUAGCCUAAGCAGUAGCGCGUUUUUGCUUGAAGAGCGCUACUGCUAUGUUGUUUAGCAGUAGCGCUUUAUCUCAAAGCGCGCUACUGCUAAACGCCAUCCUAUCUUCCCCAACCGGCUGCCCACACACUCUCUCUCCACUCUCACUCUCCCGCGCACCGCCUGUCGUCCGCCGCCGCUCCCGUUCCCCGACCACCGUCGUCGCCCGCCGCCGUCGGCGCUCCUGCUCCUCCUCCAUUGAGGUAGUGCCUCCUUCCCUCCUCCCUCAUCCUCCUCUCUCCUCCCUCCUCCCUACGGCGCCCCUCCCUCAUCCUCCUCUCUCCUCCCUCCUCCCUACCGCGCCCUCCCUCCUCCUCCAGCCGCCCCUCCUCCCUCCUCCUUCGGCCAAGCCCUCCACCGGCAGCCCUCCUCCCCCUCCUCCUCNNNNNNNNNNNNNNNNNNNNNNNNNNNNNNNNNNNNNNNNNNNNNNNNNNNNNNNNNNNNNNNNNNNNNNNNNNNNNNNNNNNNNNNNNNNNNNNNNNNNNNNNNNNNNNNNNNNNNNNNNNNNNNNNNNNNNNNNNNNNNNNNNNNNNNNNNNNNNNNNNNNNNNNNNNNNNNNNNNNNNNNNNNNNNNNNNNNNNNNNNNNNNNNNNNNNNNNNNNNNNNNNNNNNNNNNNNNNNNNNNNNNNNNNNNNNNNNNNNNNNNNNNNNNNNNNNNNNNNNNNNNNNNNNNNNNNNNNNNNNNNNNNNNNNNNNNNNNNNNNNNNNNNNNNNNNNNNNNNNNNNNNNNNNNNNNNNNNNNNNNNNNNNNNNNNNNNNNNNNNNNNNNNNNNNNNNNNNNNNNNNNNNNNNNNNNNNNNNNNNNNNNNNNGUUGAAUUAGUAAGUGCUUAGUUGAGUUAGUAAGAAAAUUUAUUAUUUUUAUUUAUAGUAAGUGCUUAGUUGAACUAGUUGAAUUAAUAGAACUAGUUUAUUUUUAUUAAGAAAAUUUAGGUAUAUGAGAUCUGAUGAUCUAAUUAAAAUUUUACUAUAGAACUUGUUUAUUUUUGGUAAGAAAAUAAUAGAACUAGUUUAUUUUUAGUAAGUGCUUAGUUGAAUUAGUUGAAUUAAUAGAACUUGUUGAAUUUAUGUCAUUUUCACUUCGUCAUCAAAGAAUGCUAUAUGAGAUUUGAUGAUCUAAUUAAACUUUUCCUCGGUAGAGUCGUGUCUCCAUAGAGUGAUCGUCAUCCGAGCUACCUCUACUUCCUCUAUACCCGAGUUGGUGAGCUAAAAGUCCACCUCCUCCUUCUCCACUCCUCGGUGUUGAAUAGAGUAGAACUAGGUUAUUUAGUUAUGCUUCUUAACCAAAUGAAAUGUUCAAAUUAUAAGAUAUAUUGAAAUGUUUUUGUCAAUAUUGAACCACUGAAAUGCAAAGAGCACCCGUUUAUGCUGAUGUGCGAAGUGUUGAUUCAUUUCCGAGUGACCUAUGUUUUGCUGGAGUGUUGAUUCAUUUUCGUUCCGACAAAUUUCCGGCUCUCGAUAUGUCCUAUUUUAGCGAAGGUCAUGCCGGAUUUUUCCGUGAAUUUAAGCAUGACUUGUUCUAGAAUGUAGGAAAUAUCGAGUGCCCCGGUGUAAGUGCAUCUAGUGCCACCCCUAGUUGGUUUUGGAGUAUUGACGACAUACCUGGUUGAGGGACUAAUGUGUUUGUGAGAAUUGCAGGAUAACACAGGUAGUAGUCCCUCAUUGAUUCGGUUUACCUACCGGAGAUGACCCCUAAAAAUGUGUGAAGACAUUGAAGACAAUGGUGGUAUAUGAAGAUAUUCACAUUGAAGACUAUGACAUAAGAAGACAUAGCAUGAAGACUUUGGAGCGCGAAGACACAGUUGUUUCGUAGUUUCAUUUUCUUCUUUGUUGAGUCAUAGGAACCACCGUACUGUUAAGUGGGGGUCCAAGUGAACAAAGUUAGAGUGACUGAAGUGAUGCUCAACCAAAUCCUAUGUCUUCGAGCAAAGACAAUGAGAGCAAAUCUUAUCCAGAGGCGGAUGAGUCAGCUUUACUUGUAGCCCAAGUCAAGCUGCCGCGUGUGUUUGAAAUCUGACUGUUGGAACACGUGUCAGUUCCUUAGUGACCCAGGGUCAUUUCGGACAAAUCAGGGCGGGUUGCCUAGUGGCUAUAAAUAGCCCACCCCCUACACCAUAAAUUGGUGGCUGCUCAGAGUUAGUGCACGGCUUUUGUCGUUUGAGAGCAACCCACCUCCAAAGCUUUUGAGAGAGAGAGAGAAAUCCUUGCGAGGACAAAGCCCAAAACACCCAGAGCCAAAGAGUGUUAGGCAUCACUGAAGUCUUUCUGUCCGCGUGACCUGAAGACUUGUUACACUUGAGGACUGUGAAUCCUCCAGCCGGUUAGGCGUCGCCUUCUGAGCAUCCAAGAGUCAUUGUGGAUUGCCGGUGAACGAAGUCUAUGAAGGUUUGGAAGUCUACCUUGAAGACUUACCAGAGUGAUUGGGCGAGGACUAGGUGUCCUUAGCUCAAGGGGAAUAAGGUGAAGACGCGGUCUUCUGAGUUGAAUCUCAGCCUCCCUAACCAGACAUACAGUUGUCACAGCAACUGGAACUGGUCCAACAAAUCCUUGUCCUCACCAAGCGACUGGUUCAAUUUUCUCCCUCUCUUUACUUACAGUUUGUCUUCGUGAAGUCAUUGCCUGCUUGCAUUAUCUGUUUGACUUCACUGCGUGACUACCAUUGUUGUUUGGCUUCAUACUAUAUUCCAUCCUGAUCAUCACUACCUAGUUGCUACUAGUCUUCGUGCUUUCACUUAAUUGAAUACUUGACUAUUGCUUGCCUAGUGUAGUCUACCUUCCACUGCAUGUCAAUAGGUUCAUUUCUAUUGUUUGUCUUUGAAACUCCCAUGUUUUGAAGACUUUCAUAAAAAUCGCUUAUUCACCCCCCCUCUAGUCGAUAACUAGCACUUUCAAUUAGUAUUAGAGCAAGGUACUCCCUUGUUCUGUGUGAUUCGAUUUAACCACCUGGAGUUUUAGCUAUGUCGACUGCAAGGAUAAUCAAAGUCUCCGCUGCGUGCCCUGUCUUCAAUGGCACUGAUUACCCCUACUGGAAGAAUAUGAUGCGCAUGCAUCUUGAAGCCAUUGGUGUCGAUCUAUGGUAUGUCGUCAAGAACGGUGUUCCCAAGACCGGUGAAGGCGUCACCCCUGCUGAUGUCAAGAAUUUCAUUCAACUGGAUUCUACCGCCAAGAACAUCAUAUGUGGUCAUCUGACCAUAGGAUAGUAUGGCCGUGUGAGUGCUCUGGAAACGUCGAAGCUAGUCUGGGACUGGCUCUCCAAGGUCAACGAAGGCGUCUCAACCCAGAGAGAUCAAAGGAUCAGUGUUCUUCGCAACCUCUUCAACCGCUUCAAGAGAAACGACAAUGAGAAUGUCCAGCUCACGUUUGAUCGCCUCACUGACAUCACAAAUGAACUUCAUGCUCUUGGCGCCACGGAGAUCACCAAGCAUGAAAUCGUCAAGACACUCCUGAGAUCACUUGACAGCUCGUUUGACACCCUAGCCCUGAUGAUUCAAGAACGCCCUGACUUCAAGACACUCGAUCCAUCUGACAUACUUGAGAGGUUCAACACACACGAGUCUCAGCUAUCUGAGAAAAGAUACAUCUAUGGUCCUAACUAUGGUCGAACUCGCGCUUUGAAGGCUAAGGCCGUUUCCUCAUCUGAAGAAGAAUCUGACUGCAGUUCUGGUGAUCCUGAAGACAUUGGAAAGACGCUUGCUAUGCUUGUGAAGAAGUUCCAGAAGUUCACCAAGAAGAAAGGCUUCAGAAAGUCUUCACGAUCCAGCUCAAGAAAUGAUGAAGCUUCCACUCAUGACCACAAGAAAAGAACAUGCCACAAGUGCAAGAAACCUUGUCACUACAUCUCUGAGUGUCCACAAUGGGACAAUGAAAACAACAAGAAGAAAAAGAGCAAGGAAUAUGAUUCUGAUGACAAAAAGAAGAAGAAAUCCUCAAAGUCUUCUUCCAAAUCUUCAUCGAAGUCUUCAUCACACAAGAAGAGCUCAUCUGGCAAGGCUCGUGCUUUUGUUGGCAGGGAGAUGGAUUCAGAGGAGGAGUCUGCUUCUGAGGAGGCGGAGGUGGAGUCCGAGGAGGAGUCCGACUCUGGCGUUGCAAGUCUGGUUCUAGCUACAGCCUACGUUGCCAAGUCCAUCUUCAACACUGAAGACAAUGGCUCCGUCACCAACGCUGAUACUAAUAACAAGGACGACUCUGCUCCCACCUACUGCUUCAUGGCACGCAGUGCCAAGGUAAACUCACGCGAUGCUUACUUUCAAAUAUCUAGUGAAGAUGACUCUGAUUGUGAAUCCAAACCCAGCUACAAAACACUUGCUAAAAUGGCAACUGAACAACAGAAAGCUAUGGAACAUAUUCAAAAACUGUUAGACAAAAGCGAUGACCUGUUGGACGCGGAGACCCGAUCUCAGUCCUUAAUUGAAGACAUAAAAAAUCUUCAUGUUAAGUAUGAGGAACUUGAAAGUCGUCAUGAAACGCUCUCAGCAACUCAUGAAAAGCUUUCCUACGAUUAUCUUCAAAGGAAGCAAGAACUUGAGAAAUUGAGAGCGGCUCAUGAAGAUUUUCAAAAAGAGAAUGAGUCACUUCACGCUCAACAGAUCAGUCCCGCUCAGGAAGGAUUUGAACCACCAUGUUUAAAAUGCCUUGAGCGUGAUAAUGCUACUUCUGUUGCUGAAUGUUCUACUGCUGCUACUGGUGCAAUAUCUUCAAUGGUUGAUGUGGUAACUAACCCCUCUACGGAGGAUGCCACUACCUUCUCUGAUGAAAAUGCUAGGUUGAAGACAUUGCUUGAGACAGGGAUGUUCAAAAGUCUCAAAGGGCAUCAGACACUGUGCGAUGUCCUCAAGAAGCAGAUUCUGAACCGAAACCCUAGAAAAGAGGGUGUUGGGUUCGAGAGGAAAAUGAAUGUUGAUGGUUCUUACUGGAAGCCUGAGCAGUACCGCAAAACCACAUGGGUUGCUGCAAAGGGACCUUCAGUGGAUCCAUCCACCUUAUUUGGCUUCACUUGUGCUAACCCAGUUAUCAUUGAUGAAUCCUUUGAUGCAAACUAUAAACUGUUUAAGAAUCAGAAUGGUGAAGUGUUUGCCAGGUAUAUUGGUACUAACUGCAGGAAUGGGCCACCUAUGAAGAAGAUCUGGGUACCCAAAAGCUGUCUUGAGAAUCUUCCUGUGAAUGUCGUCAUGACAACACAAGGGAAGAAGACAAACCCCAGACCAAAGGCUUCAUAUGGUCCAAAGGCUUCAUACAGACACAUGACUCACCUGAGUCACCCUAACGCCAAUGUUUUUGCAGGGAAAUCAUACUCAGAUGUAUGAAUAUGAGCGUGUUUCUUCAAACCGCUAUGUUCAUAAGACCAAGAACUUUUUUGCUUAUUCAUAUGAGUAUUAUUCUCCUCCUGCAAGGCUAUUUGCUAGGGCUCCAAAGCCGAAGUUCUCAGAUGCUGCACUUAGACUCAUUGCUUCGAAGCCACCCUGAAAAUGUGGGUGGUUAAGAAAACUUAACUCUCUUUUGCAGGGAAAGGUCUCCAGCCAAAAAUCAAAGGCGUCAGAUGCUUUUGCUGGGGACCUAAAACAUCUUGUGGGAUGCAAGAUAAAAUGCCCAACGGUCUUACUAUGCAUUUUGUUCCUGAAUCGCUUGCCAAUCAUCCUAUCAGUCCUAACCUUGAUCUGAGCUUUGAUAAUCCUCUUGUCCGUCAAAUGUUUAUGCUUCACAAUACUCUUGGUGAAGCCUAUCCCCCUAACUGUACUGUAGGGUAUGACACCACAUGCUUCAGAAUGGAUUAUGGACAGCGGAUGCACUAAUCAUAUGACUGGUGAUCGAAGUCUUAUAAUGGACUCAACCUUACAUCCAUCUGACAAGAGCCAUAUCACAUUUGCUGACACUGGUAAAAGCAAGGUAUUGGGUCUAGGUAGAGUUGGAAUCUCAAAGGAUCAGCACUUGGAUAAAGUGAUGCUUGUUGAAUCCCUUGGUUUCAACUUAAUGUCUGUCUCAAUGCUUUGUGACUUGAACAUGAUUGUGAUAUUUGGAUAGUAUCGUUGCCUUGUACUAAUGUAAUCUGACAAGUCUCUAGUCUUUGAAGGGUAUCAAAAAGAUGAUUUGUACAUGGUAGAUUUCUCAGCAGGACCACAGCUUGUCGUAUGUCUUCUAGCAAAAGCUUCAGAGUGCUGGCUCUGGCAUCGGAGGCUAGGGCAUGCUGGCAUGAGGAACUUACACACUCUCGCAAAGAAGAAGCACGUCAUAGGCAUCGAGGGCGUCAAGUUCAAGAAAGAUCAUCUGUGCGGUGCCUGUGAAGCUGGAAAGAUGAUGAGAGCCAAGCAUCCCUCGAAGACAAUCAUGACGACAUCUCAACCCUUUGAGUUGCUACACAUGGACUUAUUUGGUCCUACUCACUACUCUACUCUCAUUACUACUGCUUGUCUCUAUGGCUUCGUCAUUGUUGAUGAUUAUUCAAGAUACACUUGGGUGCACAUAAUUCUCUACAAGACUGAACGAAAAUAUAUUCGGAAUUUGAAAAACAAAAUUGCAGAAAAGUGAAGAUAUAAGGAAGAAGAAAGAGAAAGGAAAAAAGAAGCAAAAAAAAUGAAUAGAAACAAGACGGCCUAACGCGUGAACCGGUUUUUUGUUUCUUUUACUGGUUUUUCUGUUUUCUUUUAUUUUUUAUUUAUUUAUUUUUCUUUCAUUCUUUUUUGUCGAUUUCUAUUUAGUUUUUCUUUUUCCCUUUUCAAGGUUAUUUUAUCUUUUUAAACUAAGUUCAUGUUCGAAAAUUGUUCUUAAAUUUAGAAAAUGUUAUUGACUUUAAAAAAUGUUCGAAAUUCAAAAAAUGAUCGUGAUUUUCAAAGAAUGUUAUUGUUUACAGAAAAUGUAGCCAAUGCAUUUGUUCAAUUUUUCUAAAUAUACGGGUGUUAAAAAAAUGUUCGUGAUUUUCAUAAAAUGUUCAUGCUUUCAAAAAAUGUUUUGUUUCAAAUUUUAGAAAAACGUUCUUCUUUUAAAAUUUUGUUCAGGUUUUCAAUAAAAUGUUCAUCCUUCAAAAAAUCUACAGGAAAUUUGAAACAAUUAUUUUUUCCAAAAUCUGUUCACAUUUUCAAAAAAUGUCAUUUAUAAAAUUGGUUCACAAUUUCAAAAAAAUAUUCUCGUUUUCAAAACUUUCACGGUUCUAGAAAUUUGGCUAUGCUUGAAACACUGUUCAGGAAUUUCAAAAAAUAUUCUCGUUUUCAAAAUUUGUUCCCAAUUUCAGAAAAAUAUUCAUUUUUAAAAAAUGCUUGCGAUUUCAACAUUUUUGGGAUUAUUAUAUGCUGAACUAUUAUUGUAUGAACAAAUAAAGGAAAAAAAUAGAUUGUUUAGGUGUAUUAAUUAUUAAAAACUUGAAAGCAUGGAAGAUUCAUAAUAUAAGGGUCAAUUGUAAUGUAUUCGAUUAUAUAAUUUUAUAGUAGUAACUCAUAUUUUAGUUGAUUGCCGCCUUUGAUCACUUGGGUUUAGCUAUAGUUACCUCAUCCUAACCCAUGUCGUCUCUAGAUCAUUGUACCAACUUGUGCUUUUUAGAAUAUUUUUCUGCAAAAUAGAAGUGCUGCUUUUCCAAAACAUUUGAUAUCUUAUUUGCAUUUUUCUAAGUUCAUAUGAAUUUGCAAUGAUUUUUUCAAAGUAAUGGUCAAAUGCUCAAAGGGCAUUCGGGAGACCUAAAAUGCUUUUUAGAGGCAAAACUGAGCAGAGUCGAAAACUACGGGCAAAACUAAAGGGUUGGAACCAACUAAGGGCAAGAAAGGAAUUGUCCCGCCAAUGGUUUUCUAAAUAUUGAUCUGGUCGGACAUUAAACCAAGAUCGGGUAUCCAUAUUUCAGGGGCGUUAUUGACAUGGGAUUUUUUUGCUUGCAGCUUUAUUAUCCAUUCUCACAUGCUUGUCUUAAAAUUACGAAACCUUAAACAAAUAUAUCUAAGUUAUUAAUUAUGUAAGUAGUGUAAUUUUAUCAGGUGUAGGGAAAAAUUAGUUCCAAAUCAGAGCUCAUAGAUUAAGCAAAAAUUGGGUAUGCCAUGCUAAUACAACAAUUCAAAUGAUGCACGAAAAAAAUACACGCAUGGAUAUUAGUUUAAAUAAAUACAAAAGUGCUAUUUCCAUGCAAUAAAUACAUGCUACUACAAAUGCAUCGUGAGACCGUGGCCGUGAUUUUCUUUACAAGGACAAAUACAAUAUGGAUUUUACAAUCAUAUGGAUCUCACAAUAACAAAUAUUAGUUAUCAUCCAGGAUAAGUAUAAUAAAAUACUCAUUGUGAACAAUGAAAAAAACAAAAAGAUAAUAUCCAAAACAUCUUAUAAUGAAAUGUACCUAAGGGUUAGAUGACAACUCCUCUUAUGAGACGUUGUGUUUGGAGAUCAAUCAUACACUAUACGAACACAAAUGCAUGUUUAGUGAUUGUUUAAUGAACAUGAAAGGUAAGUUUGUAGAACUAUAUACAUAACCUAUGCGUCAAUUUAUAGUAUUAGCCAACAGAAUGAAGUCAUGCAUUUCCAUUUAUAUUCUUAUUGAUAUCUACAUGACAAUAACUGUCUCACGUGAAAACCACAGGGCCAUACAAUGCAUCCUUGGUUGACUAUGAUGGUAACGGAUAAUAGAUACUACAAUUAUUGCGGAAGUUUUGUAUAUCCCAUAACGGAAGAUCCGACACCUCAUAAAAUCCCAUCCAUCUCAUUCACGGGCCAGAUGACGUCACUGGUUGAUAUCGACGCCCCUAUGGCAAUUAUCCCUGCCUCAACAUGCAAGUGCCUUCUUCCAUGUAUGAUUUCAUUGUUAGAAUCUCUAACCUUGACGAGGCGUAGAUUUUCGUAGUUGAACACCUCGUGCACUCUCCAAGCCAUGGUGAACAACCAACUAAAGGAUGUUGCAGCGGGUACUAUCAACAGAAACUGAUGCAUAACAUUCUGUUGCCAACAUACCUGACUAGGGUGGAAGUGUGUAUGGUAUUUCCUAGUUGCAAAGAGGUGGACCCUAAUGAACAACCUCAAGGUGCAGAUGAGGGAACACACUAUACGCUCAUAGAGUGCCCGAGUUGGACCCUUAUGUGGACUAAGUGACAAACACAUUGGGGGACGCACUCCCCACAGCUAGCAAACACACUCACCGCUGACACUCUCUACGAAUGUCCCUACACUGGGACCAUCUACUUUGGGUCCGUGCCGAGUUGAAGGUCCUUAGGACAUAGUGGUGGCUAAUGAUGAGGGCGCUGACAAAGAUGAGCCGCCGCCCGACACACUAUGAGCAUGGGGAGGAGGAUGUUAAUAUGUACUUUAACAAUGAAUAUGAUAAUGGCAUGACUUUUGCGGUCAACCAUAAUGUUGCUGAGAGUUUGCUUAAUAUGCCGCUAGUGGACGACACUCAGAAUGAUCAAUGUCCCUUAAAGCGAAUGUCAUGACUUUGAUCACAAUGAAUGGGUCAAUUUGAGACACUAUGGCAGCCCCCAGUUAUUGUUGUACCCAGAAGUGGGAGGAAGAAGAGACAGAAAAAUUUUCAUUACACAGGGCACGGGCGUUGCUGGCAGACAGAAACUGGUUCGAAAGUAGAUUGAGGAUCAUCCUUCUAUGUUUCGUGGGGCUCAUUUUCCGAUGAACCCAUGGUACCCAGUAAUAUACACGAUAUCAUGUUAUUCGACAUGAGGUUUCUUCAUGAUGACAAUCUCAAGAAAGAGAGGGUGGACAAGGUCACGUUUCUUAGCCAACCUAAAAAUUGCUCGAUUUACAUGGUGAAGGUUCCAUCCGGUGUCGGCUUCCUUUAAGAUUUGCCCGCAGACUAAUUCUAUAUUGAUUUCGGGUAACCGAACAUUUUGUGUAGUAUCUACUUAUGUUUUAAAGAUGCAUGAUGAAAAUGACCUACUAUGUUUACUUCAUUAACCUCAGUAGUCAUUCGACAUAUCGAAACAUGACAAUUCUGGCAUGGCAACAACAUGAGAGCUUCUGCUCAUAAAUGCUACCAUGGGAGUAAAAAAAUUAACUAAAAAUGCAACCAUGCUAGCUUAUGUUAGCCCCAAGGCUGGAAAAAUUCUACCAUGAAAACUAAAUGAGCAAUUUGACUCAUACAUGCUGCCAUGGUAGAGAAAUGAUCUCGGUUAACACUAAUUGACCCCAUGGUAGCAAAUAUGAGGCCAAAGGCACAAAAGUUUUUCCAUGACAACUAAAAGAUCCAUUUAGCCUAGAAUCAUUGCAAUGCUAGCUAAAUGAGCCAUUUCGCUCAUAUUUGCUACCAUGGAGUUAAAUGAGCCAUUUGGCUCAGAAUUGCUGCCAUGUCAGCAAAAAAUGAACGCAAAACUACCAUCACAGCAAAUAUGAGCCCCAAGGUUAAAAAUUUCUGCCAGGCCUAGGUUUGCUAUGUGCUAAUCUUGCUAUUUGUUGCCAUGUGAUAUGUUUGGUAUCUAAAUUGCUAUAAAAGACAAUUUUGCUAUGUAUACAUGUUGAAAUAUAUUUGAUUUGAUGUAUGCUGACAUUUGUUCUCUUCAUCACGACACGUCAAAGAUUCGUCGACCGAAACUUCAAAACUUCCGAGGCGCCGCAGUGAAGCUAGACGACAAUGCAUGUGUUUUACAAAUUCACCAUGUGAAAUGAAUGCAUGUACUUCAAUGCUAUCAAUGUGUGUUAUGUAAAUUAAAGGUGUAUGCUGCAAUUUGGAUAUUUGAAUUCGUGUAAAAUGUGAUACAUAAAAUUAUCUAUUUAAUACAUACUUUUUUAUUGAUAUAUGAAUUAAAUGUGCAAAUGCUACCAUGGCAACAAAUACAUUGUCAUGUCAUUUCUUUUUGCCCAAAACAAAGUACUAGUGGCGCGCGAAAAUACAAGCACAUCACCAAUGCCCCAAAAUACUAGCGCUAUGCCAUUAGUAUUCUACAAUACUGUCGUGUGAAAGGCCCAGGCAUGACACUUGUAUGUCCCUUACUAGUGUCGUGCAGGUAGACAAGCCGCUAGUAAGUUACUCGCUCGUCGCUAGUAAUCACUUACCAAUGACACUAUACUAGUGGUGUGCCAGCCGAACGCCGCUAGUAGGCACAUGCACAAGCUGCUAAUAAGGGUGUCAUGUAAGUUGGCGGUGGGAGCAACGAUGCUCAUGGGCGAAGCUCUUAGCUAAGGUGCAGGAUAGUGGCAAUGGCCACGCAGGAGGCGGGUUGACUGGGGUAUGGCGUUCAGUGGCGGUGAUGUGGCAGGUGUCUUCACGACUAGUUGUACUAUGUUGCAGAGGCUGCCCCCCCCCCUUCGACAAGGCGCCACCUUGGAGUACAUAGCUCAUCAUGUGCGGCUUCAUCUCUUCGGAGUGACUUGUUCAUGGUUGAGGGCUCUAGUGACAUCAAGAAAUAUGCUCUCUAUCCGAUGAGCCAUUUUCUUGGAGUUUUCCUAUUUUUUUGAAAAGGAGAAUAACCCUCGACCUCUCCAUCGAACGUUGCACUCAUCCAUCUUUAUUAAAUUAUUCAACAGAGACUGACACAAUAAAUACAAGGAUCAAUCCGAAGCCACCUUUCCGAUAAACUCUGUCGCUACACCUAUAAGCUUGAUGAUGAACCCUGACCGCACCAAAGCACAUCAUCUAAUCCGGUGGCCUCAUGAAGUCGCCGCCUGCGAGCCGAGAGCACCAACUAGCCUAGCAGACCCACAACGCACACCGCAUGCAUGCGCUCUAGGAUCCCGUGCUGCCAUCUACCGCCGUCCCAUCUUCAAGAGGGAUCCUUGCAUUGACCUUGCGAGGCCCAACUACCGUCGCCGCCACCGCGACGCCAGAAAAUACCACCAGCCUGCGCGCAUCCAUCAACCCACCUCCAACGCCGAUACUCCGUCAUGCCAUGCCGCUGAGACCCACCGUUUUUGAUGCGGUACAUGCAACACCGCUCCACCUCUUGGCCCCUCCAAUCAGUACCUACUCCAAAACAGUGCCCACAGGAGAGAGAAUGACACAAGUUUUCAUCAUCAUCCGACCAGGGAGACCCAGACCUAAGGUUUCUCCCGGAGCAGAUGCCUCCCGGGGAAGAAGGGCACACCAUCUGCAGUUGCCAACGAACCCAAAUGGUGCCCACCCACAACGAGUCAUUUUCUUGGAGUUGUGUUGUUGUUCUUCAGCAUCCUUGUAUAAUGCCUUGUGUGUGUGUGUUGCGGUAUCAUGUUGUAUUGUGUUGUAUGUGCUGAAUUGUAUGAUUUAUAUAAAGUGGAGCGGAAGUCUUUUUGAUAAACAAUAAGAUCAAUUGCCUCAUUUGAAACUUGAAAGUGCAUUUUUUAAUUUUGACAACGGAAGUUAGGGCCAAGGCCGACCUCAUGCGCAGGAAAAGGGGCAAGCACACGGACAUCCCAUAUGUACCCAAGUGAAAGGAUCGAUAUAGUUGACUAGANNNNNNNNNNNNNNNNNNNNNNNNNNNNNNNNNNNNNNNNNNNNNNNNNNNNNNNNNNNNNNNNNNNNNNNNNNNNNNNNNNNNNNNNNNNNNNNNNNNNNNNNNNNNNNNNNNNNNNNNNNNNNNNNUGAAUAGGCAACUAACAAUUUUUAGCUUUUCUUUACCAAAUUAAACUUUGCAUCAAAAUAGGUUGUCUAGAUAUGCAACUAAGUGAGCAACCUAUAUGAUGCAACGACACCAAGCACGCAAGCAAGUAAGAGAUAUAACACAAGUAAACUAGCGAAAGUAAAGGAACGAGAUAACCAAGAGUGGAGCCGGUGGAGACGAGGAUGUGUUACCGAAGUUCCUUCCUUUUGAGGGGAAGUACGUCUCCGUUGGAGCGGUGUGGAGGCACAAUGCUCCCCAAGAAGCCACAAGGGCCACCGUAUUCUCCUCACGCCCUCACACAAUGCGAGAUGCCGUGAUUCCACUAUUGGUGCCCUUGAAGGCGGCGACCGAACCUUUACAAACAAGGUUGGGGCAAUCUCCACAACUUAAUUGGAGGCUCCCAACGACACCACAAAGCUUCACCACAAUGGACUAUGGCUCCGCGGUGACCUCAACCGUCUAGGGUGCUCAAACACCCAAGAGUAACAAGAUCCGCUAGGGAUAAGUGGGGGGAAUCAAAUUUCUCUUGGUGGAAGUGUAGAUCGUGGCCUUCUCAACCAAUCCCGAGCAAAUCAACAAGUUUGAUUGGCUAGGGAGAGAGAUCGGGCGAAAAUGGAGCUUGGAGCAACAAUGGAGCUUUUGGGGAAAGAGGUAAGUCAACUUUGGGGAAGAAGACCCCUUUAUAUAGUGGGGGGAACAAACCAACCGUUACCCCCCUUCUGCCCCGAAGAGAGCGGUAGUACCGCUGUGCCAGCGGUACUACCGCUUGCCACUAUAAGCGGUACUACCGCCCCAAAGCGCGGUACUACCGCUUGGCCCACAGCGGUACUACCGCGGAGGGAGGGCGGUACUACCGCACUGGAGCGGUACUACGGCCCCCACAGCCGCGGCCAGUACCGUAAAACCCGCACAGAAAGGAGCCCUCGAAUCGAGGCGGUACUAGCACGAGACCACCGUGGUACUACGGCUUGGGGCCACUAGCGGUACUACUGCUCUGGAGCGGUACUACCGCGCCCAGAGCAGUACUACCGCUUGUGGCACCCAAGCGGUACUACCGCUCCAUCCCGCGGUACUACCGCUGGGACCAGAGAUAGUACACACACGGGGCUACUAGCGGUACUACUGCUCUGGGCGGUACUACCGCUCCAGAGCGGUACUACCGCUUGUAGCACCCAAGCAGUACUACCGCUCUGGCCCGCGAUACUACCGCUGGGACCAGAGAGGGCACAAAGAAAGGAGAACCAAGCCCAUCAUCGAAACGGAAAGGCUUGGAGGAAGGGGCAAAGGAAGUGUACGUGAUUCCACCCUAGCCUUUCCAAAACGGACCCCCUCUUGAUAGUACGGUGAUCCCUAUGAAACUAGUCCACCAAACUAAUCCGAAAGGACUACACCGUCUUCGCUUUAAGCUCCGAGGGAAGGAAAUCGUCUCGUGCCAAAAGAAUGAAUCUCUGAAAAAUACUCAACGCACAUGAUUAGUCCGCAAAAGCAUUGUCAUCAAUCACCAAAAAAACUUAGGGAUAAAUAUGCCCUUACAAUCUCCCCCUUUUUGGUGGAUUGAUGACAAUGCGGGAUUUGCACAACUGGGAAAAACAAAGGACAUAAGCAAACCCCAAGUCUCUAAAAUAUAGACGGGCUCCCCCUAGAUGUGUGCCAUCAAGAUAGGUACUUUGAGCUGCACGACACACAUACUAGGAUCAACACUCCCCCUGUAUUUUAGAGACCAACAACCUAAGCGAGAAACAAGAUAGCAGGAUAUAUAACAUAAUGAAGCAUAUAAGUCAUGAGAUAUCAAAUGACUAGAGACAAAGAUAAAGAUAUGAUAAUGAUAGGGUAGCAUAUGUCUCACACCAUAUGACGCAAACUAAAGUCUUACUGAACACAAAACCAAGCAAAGCACAAGUUCCAAGCAAAGCACAAAGUAGCACAUAACGAAAACCCAAAGGCAAAGACACACUCGCAACACGCAAAUCCCUAAACUCUCUCCCCCUUUGGCAUCGAGACACCAAAAGGGUCAAAGAGCUAGCCUACGGCUCCAGGUGAGAGCAUGCUGAGGAUCUCGAACAUCAGGACUCUGUGUGAUCAUCUGCACUGCCGUCGUCGCCCGGAAACUGGUCGGCAUCUGAGUCGGUCCACGGUUAGUGCUGCUGGAUCCACUCCUCCUCGUCAGUUCUGACCCUUUGAGCCGCUGGUGACUGUCGCACCCAUCUGACGCAUCAGCUCCUUGUGACGUCCUCUUGCCUUCUUCUCAGCCACAUGAGUCAUGUACUGACCAUGAGACUCUAGGCAGAACAGCUUCUUCAUCUCGCGUUUGAGCUUCUUUGCCCAAGAUGGCUCUGCUGCAGAAGGCUCUGUCCUAGGAGGCACAUACUCCUCAUCAUCAUCACCGGCAUCAGCCUCGUCCUCGAUCUCCAUGGCACCAGCAGAAGAUGGAGCUCCAGAUCUACCCCAAUUAUCCUUCUUCCUCAGACGCUUGAUCUCAUGAGAGACCAACUCUCCAGUUUCCAGCUGCUCCUCAGGAUAGGUAUGUCUCCAGGCCCUCUCAAUAAGCAACAUGAUGAACGGGCCAUAAAUUGGGCACUUGCGCUCAGAAAUAGCUGCCAGAAGCUCAGACCACAUGACAUGAGAGAUGUCCAGAGACUCGCCCGUGUUUGCGUCCUUCUCACGCUGGCAGAAGAGAAGCAUGUCCACCAGGUAAGAGUGUACCAUGUCCAGAUUCCCAAUACGAGGGAAGAGAGUCUCGCGGAAGAUGCGGUGAAGGAUGUCCAGAAAGGUAGACAACUCAUAUGUUUCCUUCCUGGUCUCAGGGUGGACCUUCCGAGUACAGUAGGGCCAGAGGGCUUGCUUGUGAGUGGAGGUGACAUUUUGGUGAGGACGAAAACCAACUGGAGUCUCGAGCCCUUGAUCUUCCACCUCAAGUAGCCCCAUGAAGGCCUGCCACUUGACAGCUAGCACCUUUCCAUUUGUCAUCCAAGUCAGAGUCCUGUCUGCGUCAGUCCCUGGUGAACAGUGGCAAAGAACUGUGCCAGCAAAUCUGCAUCAAAGUCCUUGUUGAACUGCAUGAUCCUGAGAAUGUUCAACUGAGAGCACAUCUGUAGGGCAUCACCAAAGUACUCAAGGUCCUUCUCCAUAGCAUCCGUGUUGAUGGAAUGAACAUUGACAAAGAGAUUCUUCUUAGCCUUGAUCACAUCAAAGUAUGUGGCAUACUGAAACCGGUUCCAGAACGGGCGGUUGACAAGAUUGGGUUCUUGUUCUUCCUCAUAAGGGUUGCGCCGACGCCUGUCCCAGAAUUCCUUGCUAGACAUCUCAGUCACUUUCUUGCCACUUGGCUUCGGUCGGCUGGCAAUCUUCUUCUUGCGAGGAGGAUUAGCACUUGAGGAAGCACCCCCUGUCGGCUGUGGAACACUGGAAGAACCACCUGCAGUCUCAGAUGAGCGGUACCGCUUUGACGUUGAACGCCCGGGGUUGACAGGUGGACUUAUUGCUCAGGGUGUUCAUCACCGGCAUCCAUGGCAAGAGGACGAGGUGGGGAUCGACUCCACCGAAGGAAAUGGAGAGGAACGGUCCGGAGACGGAGGGCCGCCGGAGCCUUCCCGCGGCGAGAUGGCGCUGGAGAGAGGAAGAGGAACCAGGGGACGAAGCAAAUGGGUAUGGGGUGGAGGAAACCACCCCUGCCCAUGACUUAACCCCCUGGCCCCGCCCCUCAGCGGUAGUACCGUGGUGAGGGGCGGUAGUACCGCUUAGCCGUAUAAGCGGUAGUACCGCACUGUGGAGCGGUAGUACCGCUCCAGCGGUAGUACCGCUCCAGCGGUAGUACCGCUCCAGCGGUAGUACCGCUCCUGCACAACGGUAGUACCGCCCAGCGCAACUCAAACCAGACUCAACACAUAUGGUGUAAAACGAAAUACGGGAAACAACGGCAAGAAGACGAACAAGAGCACUAGCAAGAGAACAAGAAUCACACGCCUCUAUACGAGAGGGCGGUGGCUGAGGCCACCUAUGUUUGAGUCACUUGGUAUGGCACCGCGAAGAAUUAUCCUUGGGCCCAUGACCAAAGCUCGUCUUUGAAGCACAAGUACCAUCAAAAAUGGCUAAUGUGAAAGAGUGAGAUCAGUUUAUGCAUUGUGGGGGGAGGGAAAGUUCAUUGAGAGAACAACACUCCCCCUACGUCCAUGCCUACACCUAGACAAGAAAGCACAGUGAAUGUGAGGGGUGUGCAAAGGUUCAAACCACAUUGCUCGAAUCAAUGAUAUUUAGCUCAUGCCUUAACUCGCGAAAUCUUGCUUCAUCCAAUGGCUUCGUGAAAAUAUCUGCAAGGUUAUCAUGAGUGUUGACAUAGUUGAGCUCGUUCUCCCCUCGCCUAAUAUGAUCCCGGAUGAAGUGAUACCGAAUCUCAAUAUGCUUUGUCUUGAAGUGUUGCACCGGGUUGAGAGAAAUCUUGAUAGCACUUUCAUUGUCACACCAAAGAGGCACUUUGUCACAAAUGACACCGUAAUCCUUUAAAGUUUGCCUCAUCCAUAAGAGUUGUGCACAACAACUUCCGGCCACCACAUACUCCGCUUCGGUGGACGAGAGAGACACACAACUUUGCUUUUUAGAAGACCAACUUACCAAAGAGCAACCAAGAAAUUGGCACCCUCCGGAGGUGGACUUCCUAUCCACUUUGUCUCCCGCCCAAUCGGAGUCCGAAUAACCUACAAUCUUGAAGUUUGCUCCUCUUGGGUACCAUAGGCCAAAGUUUGGGGUAUGAGCCAAAUAUCGAAAGAUUCGCUUGACCGCCACAAAGUGGCUUUCCUUAGGUGCGGCUUGAAACCGUGCACAUAUUCCCACACUCAACAUGAUAUCCGGUCUAGAUGCACAAAGGUAAAGCAAGGAUCCAAUCAUAGAGCGAUAUACCUUUUGAUCCACCGCUUUACCAUUGGGCUCAAUGUCAAGUUGGCACUUGGUGGGCAUUGGAGUGGACGCCGGCUUGACAUCACUUAGCUUGAAUCUCUUUAGCAUGUCUUGAGUGUAUUUGGCUUGGUUGAUGAAGGUUCCUUCUCUUCUUUGUUUGAUUUCGAAUCCGAGAAAGAACUUCAACUCUCCCAUCAUAGACAUCUUGAACUUUGAGGUCAUGAGAGUGGCAAAUUCUUCAUUGAAAGCUUUGUUAGGGGAACCAAAAAUAAUAUCAUCAACAUAUAGUUGGAACACAAACAACUCCCCUUUGACCUUCUUAGUAAAAAGAGUGGGGUCGAUUUUCCCGAUUUCGAAUCCACGAUCUUGUAACAACUCCGUAAGAUGCUCAUACCACGCACGUGGGGCUUGUUUAAGGCCAUAGAGUGCCUUGUGGAGUUGAUACACAUGAUCGGGGAAAUAGGGAUCUUCGAACCCGGGGGGUUGUUUGACAUAUACCAACUCAUUUAUGGGACCAUUAAGAAAAGCACUCUUCACAUCCAUUUGUUGCAAAGUGAAAUUAUGAUGAGAAGCAUAAGCAAUCAACAAACGAAUAGAUUCAAGGCGAGCAACGGGGGCAAAGGUUUCACCGUAGUCGAUACCCUCGACUUGGGAGUAGCCUUGUGCCACCAAACGAGCCUUGUUGCAAACAAUGAUUCCAUGAGCGUCUUGCUUGUUCUUGAAUAUCCACUUGGUUCCAAUGACAUUAUGAUUCCCGGUUGGCCUUGGCACUAACUUCCACACUUGGUUAUGUUCGAAGUUGUUGAGUUCUUCAUGCAUGGCAUUGAGCCAAUCCGGGUCCUCAAGCGCUUCAUAAACCUUUUGGGGUUCGACACAAGAAACAAACGCAUGAUGUUCACAAUAGUUUGCUAAUUGUCUACGAGUGCUUACCCCCUUUCUUAGGCUUCCAACCACAUUCUCCAUGAGAUGACCUUUGGUGGUGAGCUUGGAAGCGAUCUUAGCGGCACGACGCUCCAAUUCCUCCUCGGAAGUGAAGUGAGGAGGGGUUACUUGAUCAUCUUGAGCGUCGUCUUGAGCUUGUUCUUGAUCUUGAACUAGCUCGAGGGGAAGAACUUGACCUUGGGCAUCAUUUGGUGGAUCACCACCAUCUUGAGGUUGAUCUUGCCCUUGAUCUUGUUCAUGAGGUUGAGGGCCUUCACUUUGUUCUUCGGAAGCGUGUGGGUCUUGGGUUGGUGAUGGCUCCACUUGAGUGGAGCAUUGUCCUUCUCCUUCGGCCACAAGGGGUUCCUCAAUGGGUAGGAUAUAUCCAAUACACAUUCUUCUUAUGGCUUGGGGAGGAAUUUCAUCACCUACAUCACAAGUACCACUUUGCUCCACUUGGGAGCCGUUAUUUUCAUCAAACUCCACGUUACACAUCUCCUCAAUAAGUCCCGUGGACUUAUUGAGAACACGGUAAACAUGGGAGUUUGUAGCAUAACCAACAAAUAUGCCCUCAUGAGCUCUAGUCUCAAAUUUAGACAAACGAACACCUUUCUUGAGAAUCAAACACUUACACCCGAACACCCGAAAGUACUUGAGGUUGGGCUUGUUACCGGUGAGGAUCUCAUAUGGAGUCUUGUUCAAGCCUUUGCGAAGAUAGAGCCGAUUUGAAGCAUGACACGCGGUGUUGAUGGCUUCGGCCCAAAAGUUGUAUGGAGACUUGAACUCCGCCAUCAUGGUCCUUGCCGCAUCCAUCAACGUCCGAUUCUUCCUCUCCGCAACACCAUUUUGUUGAGGGGUGUAAGGUGCGGAAUAUUGAUGCUUGAUCCCCUCAUCACUGAGCAACUCAUCCAAGGUGUAGUUCUUGAACUCGGUGCCGUUGUCACUUCUUAUUGUCAAGAUCUUUGCAUUGUGUUGACGUUGGGCUUCAUUUGCAAAGUCAAUGACUGUUUGUUGGGUCUCGCUCUUCCUCUUGAAGAAAUACACCCACAUGUAUCUAGAAUAAUCAUCCACAAUUACCAAGCAGUACUUUCUACCCCCAAGACUAUCAAAGGAUGGAGGACCAAAGAGAUCCAAAUGAAGGAGCUCCAAUGGCCUCUUUGAGUAAAUAAGAGUCGUGGGAGGGUGAGCCUUCUCAUGAAGCUUUCCUUCAAUACAAGCACUGCAAGCACGAUCUUUGGCAAAACUAACGUUCGUUAGUCCACGGACGUGGUCCCCCUUGAGAAGACUUUGCAAAGAUCUCAUAUUGACAUGGGCUAAACGGCAGUGCCAAAGCCACCCCACGUCAACUUUAGCCAUUAGGCAUGUCGCGGUCUUAGUGGGUUGCUCCGAAAAGUUAAUCACAUAGAGACCGUUCUCGACAUGCCCAACAAAGGCUACUUUAAGAGUCUUGCUCCACAAGAGGGCCACGGUAUCAAUAUCAAAGAAGGUGGCAAAGCCCAUGAUAGCAAGUUGACGAACGGAAAGUAAAUUGUAUGCAAGGGACUCAACUAGCAUGACCUUCUCGAUCGUGAGAUCAUGAGAAAUGACAACUUUGCCGAGUCCCAAUACCUUAGAAGACGAGGCAUCACCCCACUCGACAUUGGUGGGCAUAGAUGGAAUCUUGUGCACGUCCACCACCAAGUCCUUGCUUCCGGUCAUAUGAUUUGUAGCUCCACUAUCGAGCAACCAUGAUCCCCCACCGGAAGCAAACACCUACAAGAGAUCAAUGCUUGGUUUUAGGUACCCAUUUUGUAAUGGGUCUGUUGAUGUUAGCAACAAGGGUCUUAGGAACCCAAAUAGACCAUUCAAUGUACUCAUGAGGAGAACCAACGAAUUUGGCAUAAACAUGCCCAUCACUAGCACGACAUAACACAUAAGAAGGAUUAAAGUCGCCGGCUUUGUUGGAAGGAGUGGCAUUGCCCUUCUUGACACCUCCACCCUUCGCAUUGUUCUUAUUCUCCUUGGAAGCACCCUCUCCCGCCUUCACAAAAGUUUGCUUGAGAGGAGGAGGUCGCUUGGUCUUGUCAUUCUUCUUCUUGUUCUUGGGAUUGGGUGCGAACCCAAUCCCCUCCUUGGCCACAACUUCCUUUUGAUUGCUCAAGAGGUCGUUGAGGUUCUUCUCACCUUGUAUGCAUGACAUAAGGCCUUUCUCAAGUUGCUCCUUCAACUUAGCAUUCUCCUCAACAAGAUGCACAUGCUCACAACACGGGUUAGUAGCAUUUGCAUUAUCAAUUAACACCAUAUGAGGAAAGGUGGCUUUCUCCUUUGUUAGCUUCACUUGGAGUUGAUCAUGAGACUCCUUGAGGAUAGCAUGAACACCCUUCAAGACUUUGUGAGCCUUGUCGAGAAUGCCAAACUCCUCUUUGAGUCUAGCAAGAUCAACCCCAAGUUUUGCCUUCUCGGAGUCUAGCACACGAGACACAACAAGAGCAUGAUCAAGAUCUUUCUUUAACUUAGCAUGAUCAUCGUUGUAUGACUCCUCAAGAGCCAAACGAAGACCACGCUCUUCGUCAAGAGCAUUGGAAAGAUCCGAAAUCUCAUCGGCAUAGUCACGACUAUGCCCCUCCAUCUUAGAGAUGGUAUCUUCGUGAGCCUCGAUCAUGUCAUUGGCUUCACCAAGUUGUUCCAAGAGAUCAACGAAGUGCUUCUUGGAUUUACCUUUGAGUUUACCCAUAAAGAUCUCAAACUCAUUUUCCUCCACAUUUGUCCCCUCAUGUUCAUCAAUGCUAUCCGUCGAAGAAGGAUGAUUAAUGUUGGUAGUUUUGAUGUUGGAGGUUACCUUAUUGGUGGCUUUAGCCAUGAGGCACUUGGCGGUGAUGUUCUCAUUGGGUGAUUCGAAGAGAGACACCCGUGGAGUCUUCGCAAUGGCAACGGAGGCCAUGGCAAUCGACUCACUAUCUUCAUCAUCGUCAUCAUCCUCAUUGUACUCUUAUUGAACCACCAACGCCUUGGGAGGAGUCUUCUUGGUGAAGUUGCUCUUGUUGGGGAACGACUUGGCCUUGUCUUUUCUAAUGAGCUUGCCACCAUUGUCUUCCCUCUUCUCGUAAGGGCACUCCGCAACAAAGUGGCUCACAUUGCCACAAUUGAAGCAAGUCCUCAUCCGUUGCUUGCCCUUUGCGCCACUUGAGUUGAUUUUGUUGAAGUUUGGCCUCGUGUUCUUCUUGCUCCAAAAUUGCCUUGAAGCAAGAGCCAUGUGUUCAUGAUAGGCAUACUUCGUAUCUUCCAGGUUGCCCUCCUCUUCUUCCUCUUCAUCCUCUUCCUCCAUACUAACCUUGGCCUUUAGAGCAAGGUUGGGCUUCUUUACUCUUUGAGAGCGAAGAACCGCAUUGUCGGCGGUCUUGUCCAAGAUGCUCAUAGCAACAAACUCAUCCAACACUUCACUUGAUGACAAGGUGUGGAAGUCCAGCCUUUGACGAAUUACGGAGGACAUGGCUUUGUGGUAGGGCAUCAUUGCUUUGAGGAAUUUGCGCUUGAUCCAAUUGUCAUCCGUGUCCUUACUUCCAUGAUCUCGGAGAGAGACCGCGAGUUUGGUUACUCUCCGAAAAAGCUCACGAGGUUCUUCAUCUUCUUUCAUUGCAAACUCGUCGGCUUCAUCUUGCACCACUUCAUAGUUGGAGCGUUGAAUGCUUCCGCUUCCCCAAUAGAGGGAAACAACUUGGAGCCAAGCAUCUUUGGCCACGGUGUAAGGCCGGAGAUGAGGAAGAUCUUCGGGUGGGAUUGCUUCUUGGAUGAUGAAGAGAGCAUUCUCAUUGAAUUGAUGAUCCACAACUUCUCUAGGAGUGAAGUUACUUCGGUCAUGCGGAUAAAAGCCUUCUUCAAUGAUUCUCCAAAGGUUAGUGUUCACAUGAUUUAAAUGAUGCUUAAAACGAUAGACCCAAGAAUCAAAAUCUACAUUCUUCUCAAUCUUAGGGGCCGGGCCGGCACGAUUCAAAUGAGUGGAAGGGAGCGGUCCACCAUAGACGGGUGGAGGUUCCACAUGGGCAAAGAUGCCGGUCCCAUUUUUAUAACUAGAACAAGGAGCCUUCUCGCUCGAAGCUUCCCCCUUGUCGGAGGUAGCAUCCGUCACCUUGUUAGCGGGAUCACCCACUUUCAACGGUGCGGUGGUAAGUUUAAGCCCUUCUAAGAAUUUAUUCAACAUGCUUUCGACCUUGGUCGUCAUGGAGGUUUUCAAUGUGUCCAACACCACAUUGAAUUCCUCACGAGAGACCGCGGUUCCCCCAUCUCCCGUAGACGAGACUGGAUUCUCACCGGAGUGCUCCUCCGCACCGUCUACGACGUCAACCAUACUCUUUGGACGGUAAAGUCCUUAAUAAAGAGACGAGGCUCUGAUACCAAUUGAAAGGAUCGAUAUAGUUGACUAGAGGGGGGGGGGGUGAAUAGGCAACUAACAAUUUUUAGCUUUUCUUUACCAAAUUAAACUUUGCAUCAAAAUAGGUUGUCUAGAUAUGCAACUAAGUGAGCAACCUAUAUGAUGCAACGACACCAAGCACGCAAGCAAGUAAGAGAUAUAACACAAGUAAACUAGCGAAAGUAAAGUAACGAGAUAACCAAGAGUGGAGCCGGUGGAGACGAGGAUGUGUUACCGAAGUUCCUUCCUUUUGAGGGGAAGUACGUCUCCGUUGGAGCGAUGUGGAGGCACAAUGCUCCCCAAGAAGCCACAAGGGCCACCGUAUUCUCCUCACGCCCUCACCCAAUGCGAGAUGCCGUGAUUCCACUAUUGGUGCCCUUGAAGGCGGCGACCGAACCUUUACAAACAAGGUUGGGGCAAUCUCCACAACUUAAUUGGAGGCUCCCAACGACACCACAAAGCUUCACCACAAUGGACUAUGGCUCCGCGGCGACCUCAACCGUCUAGGGUGCUCAAACACCCAAGAGUAACAAGAUCCGCUAGGGAUAAGUGGGGGGAAUCAAAUUUCUCUUGGUGGAAGUGUAGAUCGUGGCCUUCUCAACCAAUCCCGAGCAAAUCAACAAGUUUGAUUGGCUAGGGAGAGAGAUCGGGCGAAAAUGGAGCUUGGAGCAAUAAUGGAGCUUUUGGGGAAAGAGGUAAGUCAACUUUCGGGAAGAAGAACCCUUUAUAUAGUGGGGGGAACAAACCAACCGUUACCCCCCUUUGCCCCGAAGAGAGAGGUAGUACCGCUGUGCCAGCGGUACUACCGCUUGCCACUAUAAGCGGUACUACCGCCCCAAAGCGCGGUACUACCGCUUGGCCCACAGCGGUACUACCGCGGAGGGAGGGAGGUACUACCACACUGGAGCGGUACUACGGCCCCCACAGCCGCGGCCAGUACCGUAAAACCCGACACGAAAAAGGAGCCCUUGAAUCGAGGCGGUACUAGCACGAGACCACCGCGGUACUACGGCUUGGGGCCACUAGCGGUACUACUGCUCUGGAGCGGUACUACCGCGCCCAGAGCGGUACUACCGCUUGUGGCACCCAAGCGGUACUACCGCUCCGUCCCGCGGUACUACCGCUGGGACCAGAGAUAGUACACACACGGGGCUACUAGCGGUACUACUGUUCUGGGCGGUACUACCGCUCCAGAGCGGUACUACCGCUUGUAGCACCCAAGCGGUACUACCGCUCUGGCCCGCGGUACUACCGCUGGGACCAGAGAGGGCACAAAGAAAGGAGAACCAAGCCCAUCAUCGAAACGGAAAGGCUCGGAGGGAGGGGCAAAGGAAGUGUACGUGAUGAUUCCACCCUAGCCUUUCCAAAGCGGACCCCCUCUUGAUAGUACGGUGAUCCCUAUGAAACUAGUCCACCAAACUAAUCCGAAAGGACUACACCGUCUUCGCUUUAAGCUCCGAGGGAAGGAAAUCGUCUCGUGCCAAAAGAAUGAAUCUCUGAAAAACACUCAACGCACAUGAUUAGUCCGCAAAAGCAUUGUCAUCAAUCACCAAAACAACUUAGGGAUAAAUAUGCCCUUACACCAAGCUUUUUUUGUUCUUUUGGUUGCUUGUUGAUUGCUUGCACUUAAUCCUACGAGAUUAUCAAUUGAUUAAUAUAUUUGCUUCAAUAAUGCAUUAUCAUCUGAUUUCUUGCUUAGAUCGGUCUGCUCUCUAUUUUCAAACAGUUUUGGUCUGGGCCUAUUUUGUUCAAUUGGAUAACUCUAGUGCACAACUUAUCGAAUCGAAAUAAAUGAGUUUAUUUUCUUUUGUUUCCCCGGCAUUCGAUAGGACAUAUGUUUUGAGAAACAUCAUUGUGUGUGUGGGGGGGGGGGGCUAGCGCCUUGGUCGCCAUGACAUCCAACAGUGGUCAUCCAUCACCGUACAUAGGUCACGCGUUUGUAGCAUAACCUGAGUCGCCGUAGUUCGUCCGGCUCAACAUAUCGGCCAUUGUGUUGAUCCCCAAUUUCGCGCACAACAUGCUGCAUGAUUGGUUCACGGAGGUUGACCUCCUUGCCAUUGGAGAUCGUUGCAGGUGGUAAACCUUUCUUCGGACUGUCCGACAUCUUGACAUGGCCAAGAUCACGUGGGAUACUGAAUGUUUGUCAGCGACCCAAGAGUACUCACACAAUUAGCUGGAGACAUCAGAGGUUUUACACACUAGCAAACACAGAGCACACAUAAAAUUUGAUGCCAUGAAAACUUGCUACAGCUUUUUUAUUUGGAAUACAGAGAGAAAGAAGGGUUGUUACACGACCGACCUAAACACACACCACGUUCCUAAUGACUCGUGCCAUCCCACGGAUCAGAUCGUGCGUGCAUGAUCUACGGCUCCACUAUUAUCACAUGUGAUCCAAUGUGCCAUGCCAUC
rnacentral:lncRNA from 1 species